GGCAGCGAGGCGGGGGAUAGGGAGGGGUCCUCCGCCCUAACCCCGCCCCGUUGUCAUCCCGUCCCUGUUUGUACCCAUCGCUCAGGUGUUACAAUCUCUAGCUCCACAUAUUUUUCGUGGCCCCUCCCACGAUUGCUACUUUGAAGUUGUUGCCAAGCUGUUCAGUCAAUUCUCAAAUAUGUAGCCCCAGCCGGACUUUGCUGUGGGAUUGCAGCUACGAGUCUCCAUGCCGGCCCCCCCACGCAAUUUAUUUUGCCAUUUAUGAAACUUGCAAGAAAGCUUUGUCCCAUGGGAAAGGAAAACAAUCCCCCAACCCACACGGCCUCGGGGUUUGGGGGGGGGGAGUGGGCGGUGGUGUUAAGUAGAAGGAGAAAAUGUGGUAGAAUUUUUUUUUUUUUUUUGUAUAUAUUUGUGAGUUAUUUUUUAAAAUAUUGUAUGGGUUGUGUUUUUGGAGUUAUUUUUGUUUGUUUAUUACUGUAGUAGUAUUGCAUUUGAAAAAUUAAUUUAUGAAAAACAGGAAAAUCCAAAAAGAACGGAUAUAAUUCAAGCAAAUAAAAAAAAAAAUAACAUCGCCGCUAGGAUAAGUCAGAGUGAUCAGGUGAAAGCUGUUAGAGUUUUCCUCGCUGCUUAGAUGAGGAAAUCUUUUUUGUUUUUGAUAAACAAUUUGGAGGAUUUCAGUUUAUGAUGAAUCUGUGGUUACAGCAUCAAUGACAUUCUUGGGGAAGUCAAUAAACCAGACUCUAACCCCAUUAAAAGAUAGAGACAUUUUUUACAGAAUGUGGACAGGAACAUUAGUGGUCCUCCUCAGUCCUCACAUGACUAAUUUUGACGUACUCAAAACUAGCCAACAUUGACCUCAUGCCAUGCAUCAAAUUCCCAAGAAGAGACAGCUCCCUGCCAUUGUUGUUUAGCUUCGAUCUAUAUAAUACAUAGAGCAUCACCCUCUAGAAUAAAGUGCGUAAUUCCAAAAUCUCUAGCAAAUUUUAGUGCUUCAAGGAAAGUAGGACACUCUACAUGCUCCGUACUCAGGGCGCCUGAAAUUCCCUCAACCAUAGCUGCUUCUAGCUGACCCCAGUGGUUCCUCACCACCAGUCCCGUUACAGCUCCGUUCUCCGUCCACAUAUUUGAUUUUUAGCAUGUUUUCUUUUGGUGCCACCCGCCCAUUUGCCAUGAUUCAAAAGGUUGCACACCCCAUAUUUUGAGUGUAUGACUUCAAAAACAUCAGAUGCGUUGGAAGUUUGUCGCAUAAGUUUCUAAUAAUAUUUAGAGUUCAGAAUCGGAAGAAAAUUUUUUAGUUUCAAUGCCAUCUUGUCAUUUGCCUUUUCUUUUCUUCGUGGAGGGCCAUAACUGAUCAAAGAUUUGGGGAUUGGAGAUGACACUUCGUAUAAGCACUGAAAAAAACAGUGACAGGCUAUGAAAUUAAACUUAAUUAGUACGCCAGUUAUGGUGCUAUCUAUCCAUCGGCUCUUCAAUAUCUAUCGGGCCAUGACAAUUCUGUCGGCUGUCAUGGAAAACGGAGGCGCCAAAAAACUCGAAGAAUCACUGGCCAAUUUUUAUUUUUUUUUUGUUUAGUACGGACUCAAUCAAUUAAUUGCAAAAACUAUAGCUCAAGCAGCUGCCUUCUGUUCUCAUUUGCCCAUGAAUAUGUGGGCAUGAGAUCUUUGAAAGCUCAUGUGGUUGAAGGAAAAGGCCUUUCACUUAUGGGUGGGACACAUUAAAAUUUCCUGGCUAGAAGCAAGAGUGUCAUUGCCUUCAAAGUUCAAAUUGAGCCGAUUCCCGACUAAACGUUCCACCAGAAAGUAGGACCACAUGAAACUCAUUAAUUCACAUAUUAUGCUAGUCUACUUCACAUGUGAAAUUAAAUCAAGUGAAGCCACAUGAAAUGCCAACUGCCUAAGAGGCUGUUGGUACCACCAAAGUCUUGGUGAAAAUGGGAGGCAAGGGUUUUUCACCUUGCCACUUCGUGGUUUUUUUCGAUGGAAAAAUCCCGUCGACUCCCCAUUCCCUUAUAAUGUUUAUCACUGUAAAAAAAAUAAAUAAAUUCAGUUGAAACUCCUUGAUUGAUUCGAGAAUAAUUAUUAUACAAUGUCCAAUACCUACUUCGGACCAACAUAAAAUUUUACUAUCACCAACAUUACAGAAUUACAAGAAGGGUAGGAAAGCGAAAAGAGAAAAUAGCAACAACCUCUCCUACAACACGUCACGUCUUUACAUGUGUCAUAUUUGAGCUAUCAAAUCCAGGCAGAUCGACACUUUGCUAAUUUAGUGCCAGUUGCUAUCAUAGUUAUAAAACUUGGCUCGAUCCGACGGUCGAACCGAUCAAUCAGUGAAUCAGCCAUAGAAUCGAAUUGAAUUGCUAAUUAAAUCAAUUAAACAACAAAUUCGUUGACCUGUUAAAGACUUGAGAGCUCAACUGGUGAACCAAAAAAAUCGCUAGUCAAACCAUUAGUUGAAACACCAACUUAAAAAAUUUACUAUUCUUAUAAUAUAAAAUAUGUUAUUAUAUUUAUAAUAUAACUAAUAUACAACCCGUGACUGAACCAGUAACUUAGUGAUUCAAUCACCUCUCUAAGUUGAGUACUGGACCGAAUUUAAUAACUAUGGUUGGUACCAAACCUCCCCGCUACAACUGUAUAUAUUUGUACUCCACGUGUCUAAUUUACGGGUUUGGUCCCGGACCAUCGGUGUUAGUUAUACAAGUUAGCUACAGAGGGGAGAUGCGCAUGUUGUGUUUGGUAACAAUGGGAGAUAUUGCAGAUCAAACGAUCAAGGCUGAUUUAGGUAAUAUCGGUGUUUGUGGGCCAGAACCAAUCUCUGCUGUUGAAAUGUCCAUAUGAUUAUUAAUUAGCCAAAGGGAUAAUUUCAGAAACCUCCCUUGACGUUUUUAACAAUUUCAUUUAGCUUUCUCGAAAUUUUUAAAAUUAUACAUACCUUUCUUGUCAUUUAAAAUGACAAUACUACCUUUAAAUAUUUUAGUGAAAUUCCCUUGUUUGGUAUGUUUAUAUUUAGAAUGACUUUUAAAAUUAUUUUUUAUUAUUUUUCUUUUUUUAAAAAAAAAUUUUUGUCAAUAAAACUGUAGAACUACCUAUCAGGAAAUUAACCUUUUAUAAUCGUAUAGACAUUUCAAAUAAUAAGUAGUGGUUUUGUAAUCAUAUAGAGAUUUCAUAAUUUCCCGUAAAUCAAAAGGAAAUGCAGUGAUUAUACUAGUGGUUCUACAGUUUAUAUGAUUAUCAUAUAAUCUAUAUAGGCUACUUACAUAUAGUCUACAUAUAUGACUACAGCUUAUAUGAUUAUUAUAGUUGUUUAUCAAAUAGUACUAUAUGGACAUGAAAAAUUUGGUAGCUUUUCUUAUAAUUAUACAAUAUAAUCUUAUAAUUGUAUAGGAAAAUAAAUUAAAAUUCAUUACACAAUAUCAUUUUUUGGGUAUUCAUUUAAAAAUUUGAUAAAGUCAAUAUUAUUUUAAGAUUUUGUUAUUAAAACUAUCAAAUCAAGGGAGGUAGGUGUAAUUUUUAAAAACCUCAGAGAAAUUCAGUGAAAUUGUUAGAAAUCUCAAGGGAGAUUUUUGAAAUUAUUCAAAAGCACAAUCAGCGAAACUACUUGCCCGCACAGUUAUAUGUAGAGAAAUUUCUAAUUUUGUGAUGAAUUUUAAAAAAAUUCUACAAAAUGGGUGAUUUUGGCAAUGGAUUCCGUACUGAGCGAUGCGAGGUUAGAGCAUUUCACGAAUGCGAUGUUAGAAUAGAGCUCGUAUUCGCGAAAUGCGAGCUCUACUCUGUAGUUCUUCUUGAAGUAUUCAUCAUGUCAGGUUCUUGUAGGAGGCAUAAGUUCAUGCUCUUCAGUCUUCUUCUUGCUUUGAUUCUCAUCUCAUCAGAAGCAUCAAGAUUUCCAAAGGAUAUGUGGAAACAGAUGCUGCCUAAAAGGCUUCCAUCUCCUUCUUCAGCUCCCUCUGAGCUCGCAUUUCGCGAAUGCGAGAUUAGAAUAGAGCUCGCAUUCGCGAAAUGCGAGCUCUACUCUGUAGUUCUUCUUGAAGUAUUCAUCAUAUCAGGUUCUUGUAGGAGGCAUAAGUUCAUGCUCUUCAGUCUUCUUCUUGCUUUGAUUCUCAUCUCAUAAGAAGCAUCAAGAUUUCCAAAGGAUAUGUGGAAACAGAUGCUACCUAAAAGGCUUCCAUCUCCUUCUUCAGCUCCCUCGAGAGGAUCAAAUUCUGUAGCUACUGCAUCUACAGAUAUUGAAGCCCAGAGAAAGCUUCCUAAUUCAUCUGAUGGAGGCAAGGUGUAGCAGAUAGUGAAGAGGGUUAUUCACAAUUGACAUCUCUAACUGUAAAGGCAGGUUACUUGCAGAUUUUGUACACGAUCUGGUACAUACAUUUUGCACUCAUCACAUCGAUGAAAGGGCAAAACUGAGUGAUCAAGCGAUGAGGAGAUUGAUUGAAGGCCGUCUAAUAAGUGGAUCUCCUGUAAAGAUGCUGAGUCGCUACUCAUCAGAGACAGCAUAGGGCACGAUUGUAGAGAUAGAGAUUCAAUAGAGGAGGCAUAAUUAUUUAGUUUGUAUGUAGAAGACAAUUUUGAUGUGUCCUGUAAACUCAGUGAGCUCGCAUUCCGCAAAUGCGAGCUCCAAUGCGACCUCGCAUUCGUAGAAUGCGACCUCACUGAGCUCGCACAGAAUGCGAAGACCCCCAUUUGUAGAAAACACUCCAAGAACCGCCCUCGUUGUAGAAUUCUUUUUUUUUUUCCAUCGUAAACUAAGAAUUCACCCGUUAUAUGUAAGCCGCAGCUCUAAUCGUUAGCACAUGAACAAGUAUUGUGUUCAAAAGCUACACUGCUUGUGAACCGACCAAUAUUUACUCAACAAACACAUAAAACUCCAUUAACGAAUGUUUGUGCUUUGUCAGGUUUUAUUCCCAAAUCCUCUGGUAGCGAAGUCGAACUUUAUAUUGGCUAAUAUUGCCAAGUCAAUCGAGUUACUCAAAAGCCCUCUAUAUCCUUCCUACCCGCCUGAAUCCCUUGUGGUGGCGGCACGCAUAUACACUCCGGUGGGACAGGGCAAGCCUAGGAGAAACCUCAGACUCGUCCGUGGCUUGUUUAUAUGCCCGUAAACUUUCCAAAAAGUGUCGAGCUCUGAAACCAACCAACCCCCCCCCCCCCCCCCGGGGGCGGGGAGACAAAAUAGUACGUAUUUCCAUCUAAAAGCGUCACAGUCGGGCACGGACUCUAAUUUUUGUGUUGAUCAUAAUAUAAAGUUGAUUUGCUUGUGUGCUAAUAUCAAAAAUCAUAAAAGCUCAAAGCUCACAUGUUGUUGUUGCACGAGAUACGUAACACAACAAAUGCACUAAAAGAUCAUAUUGUAAAAGAACGUUUGAGGUCGAUAUUGUGUUACUGAUCAUGUAAAUAAAGAAUCAGUUAGUCUAGUAUACUUUUCUGAUAUAUAUAUAUAUAUAUAUAUAUAUAUAUAUUGUGUUCCUUAAUUCUUUCUUUCUCAGUGAUCAUAGUGGCAUUUUUUUUUCCCUUCAUUUUAAAGAAAAUCAAUAGGGAUUCUUCAUCUACGCUUGAUGAUGAUUCAGAGAACUUUUAGGUAAAUGAUCUUGCCAACUAACUUGUUAGGAAUCAUAACAGGCGCUAAUUUUUAACAUUUGAGACCUUAGACAAUCAUAGUGGAGAUCAAUAAUUAGCUAAAUUAGAAUGUGAUUAAUGGUUUAGAGUUGUCAGUAACACUCCAAUUUAUAGCUAUAUCUGUAAUUUUGCCAUUCUCAAUUUACAUUGUGAUAAUUAAUUAAUUUUUUUGUGCCUAAAAAUCCGUCUUGGCCCGCAAAGCUUUCAUCUUUUUCCAGAAAAAAAAAAAAAAGAAAACAGUGGAACUUGGACGUUCACUAGACUCCAUCAAACACAUGCAAGAAUCAAGUUACAUCGUAGUAAAAAGUACAAUUCAGACUUGGUAUCCAUUUCUAAUCUAGAAUUCUGAAUCACUAGCUCAUAAAACAUCCGCAUUCUGGUCAUGCUUGAAUUGCUUGUUUCCGUCGGAAAAUAUUGUCAUUUUCCGUGAUCACAUUUCCCUAUCACAUUUUUCCUUCACAUAUAUCAAAUCGCUACAGUAAUUUUUCCAUGAAAAAUGACAGAAAAUGCAAUCCAAACACUACUUAAAUUUUCUUUCUUUUUCUUACGAGGCAUAGCUACAAAUAGAAUUUCCAAGUUAACCAUUUAAAUGGGAAGGAGAUGCAACAAUAAGAAAUGAUACAGUCUGAAUCAAGCGCCACCUGUUCAAUUGCAUCGUAAGAACUUUUCGUGAUCGAUCGGUGCGAACUAAUAGGAAAGGAAGUAAUGAAGUAGCUGGAACUUUAAAAAAAAAAUGAAAAAAUGAAAAGAGAGAGUAGCAGCAUAUCAGGGCAAACAAAGCAUGCGAGGUACAAGUUAGGUAUUGAGGGUGGAAUCAAUUGCUUUAUGAACUGCGAAAUGACAAUAAUGAGUUCUACCAAUUAAUGUACAAUUUUGUCCUCCACAAUUUCGGGAAACAUAUAUAUAUAUAGGGGACAUGGGGUACAGAAACUGAGGAGCUAAUCCUACACUAGAAACAUCAAAAUACCAAUACAAAAAGUACAGUACAAAAACAACAGCCAUAUCCCCACAAUGGAUGUACAUGAUAAAAAAAAAAUCAAGUAUACAUACUUGGAGCCGACGAAGGCAGCCAACGCUUGAUGAAUCUCGUUUUCUCAACAAAUUCACGGUACGUACAGCUAUCUAGCUGUCCUGAGUCCACCAUCUACCUGCAGAUAAAAUCUUAAUGGAGAUUACUUACAAGUUUAGGGUUAUAGAGAGAUGCGCACCUAGAGAAUACCCGAGCUUGAUACUCUUAUUGAGCUACUGUUGACUCGGUGCUGGCGGAGCUUUUCUUUCCUCGGACCAAUACCGGCAAACCACCGUGGAAAGUGGCCGUAAGUCCAGGAGAGAAGCGCGGGCUUUGAUGGGCUUCAGCUAAAACGAUGUGAAAGUCUCGCAGCAAUGAAAUUGCUACACUCUUGAGCUCCACAAGUGCCAUAUCUUUCCCCAGACAGACCCUUUGUCCAGCUUGAAACACAGGAUACUUGAAAGGGUUUUCUUGGAAGAAGACGCCAUCUCUCAACCACCUCUCGGGCUUGAAUUCUAAGCAAUCGGAACCCCAGAUAUUUUCCAUCCGCCCCAUCGCGUAAGGAUGAUAAGUAACUCGUGUUCCCUUCUUAACAGCGGUUCCAUCAGGGAAGAUGUCAUCCUCCAGGCAAAAUUUUGAAUCGAAUUGUACGGGUGGGUACAGUCUCAUACUCUCAAAGAUUGCAGCAUGCAAAUACUGAAGCUCUCUUAGUUGUUCCAAGCUGGUGAGCUUUUCUUUAGGCCCCACGACUCGAUCAGCCUCCCGUUGAAUAGCAGCCUCGACUUCCGGGUGGUUAGCCACAAGCCAGAAGAAGCUUGUCAAAGUCGAGGCAACUGUGUCGCGACCUGCUAGGAGGAAGCUUAUUAUAAUAUCUCUUAAGUAGGUUUCAUCAGUGACGCUGCCCAUAAAUCGAGAGAGAAGAUCUUUGUGUUCGGAAAAACCUAAUUUUCGGCGUUGCCUUAUGACUUCUUUAGCUAGUAGGUUGAUCAUCUGGAUGGCUUUCCGGAGUUCCUUCUCGCUGCCUAUAUUCAGCAUCCUUUUGACCUUCCAAGUAACUGGUGCAGCGGUCAUGGCCCUUUCCGCCGACAAUCUGGAUGCUAGGUCAAAACAGACAGCAAACUCUGAAAGAGGCAGGGAUAUUUCUAGACACCUGGGGUCCAACCCAAACGAUACUCUGCAAAUACAAUCGAAUGAAAAUCUGCGGAAAACGUCUUGAAAAUCAAGAACGCGAUCUUCUUUACCCGCUGCGAAGGAGGAUAAAAGAGGAAUAAGGCGAUUUUCGAUCUCGUGUUGGACAACAUCGAAGGCGUAAGAUCUCAUGGAGAUUCGACACAGCUCAAGACUGGCCAUUUUCCUCUGGAAUUUCCAUAAGUCACCAUCAACGUUAAAUAUGCCCCGGCCGAGAAAGUCCCCUAGGAUGGUCGAAAAAGGUUUGCCUUUGGGAUAAUUCUCAAACCUGGUUUUGAGUAUGUACUCAACAUUUUCGGGAUUAGCAGUGAUUAUGUUGCCGAGUACGUGCACGUGAAUAGUUUGAGAAGGCGAAUCCUGGAGGAGAUAAGUGUACCAAUCGCACAAGUUUUUGAAUUUGACUGACCAACUGGAGCUAACAUAAGCUUGGCAAAUCACACACUUGCACCAAACUCUUGGCCUCAUAACAAAAUACUUCAGGAUAAGAAAUACAAAAGCCAUCGCCAAAGAGAAGACAAGGAAACAGAAAGCUUGAAACUUAGGCACGAUAAAGCAUGAAAAUUGGGCAGACUCCAUGGAUGGGUGAUUUUUUUAUGAAGAUAAAGAGGGUGCGGGCAAUGGAAGGCCAAUAAGAGUAGCUAGCAUGGACUAAGGGGAAAGAGACCAAUAUUUAUUAUUUUGAAAGAGUUACAUAUAUAAUGAACCAACAGUUGAACAAGGAAAUGCAAAACCAGGUUUCACUGUUCUUCAUUAUCUUUAGGUAGGAAACAAAAUUAUAUCUGCAAAAAAAAAAAAAAAAAAAGAAAGGUGAGAGCAGGGAUAACGCAUGGGCUAAAGGAAAAAGUCAGUUUGAUGACGCAUCCUUCUGCACCAUCCAACCAAACAGUAUAUAAGACUAUAUAUAAGCUAAGCUAAUGCAAUAUAUAGUUUGUACACAUUCCAACACGUGCUCAUAUUCUUUCAUUUGUACCCACUCGAUGGGUAUAAUAUUGGGCUCGGCAGCGCGGCGACUCAUGGGAGCAUGUUGUCAUGUUUAUGGGUGUUUACUGAAUUAUUUUUCCCUUUGAGAAACUGCAACUAACGCCAUUUUGCCUCUUUCCAGCUAGUGUUGUCGAAUCAUAUGACUUCAUAAUGGCUGGGUUUGGUCUUGCUCCCCACAACAAUGCAAAUUUUCUGAAGUUAUUCAAUUCAUAAAAAUGAGGACCCAAAAAAAAAAAAAAAGUAUCUAAGUGCAAAGGAUACAAACUAUUAAUAUGUGAUUCAGAAAACAGAAUCCCUUUCUGAAGUUCUCAAAAAACUAAUCUUGUACCAUGUUAUACAAGUAAAUUCUGAAUUAUGGCAAGUUAAUUGAUUCUAAGUCAUACAUUCAAGAUUUGAAUCUGGGUAAGUUAAUUUAUUUGUACGAUUAUUUGGUGCAACGAAUCUUUUAAAAUCCCACUUUCUGCUCCGUUGUAUGAUCUACUUUUUAUUAUAUUGCUAUUUUUCCUUCAUAAACAUUAUAUUUUAAUUCUUUUUUGUUUCCUUAAAUUUCAAUAACUAUUAAAUGAGUAAUAUGCAAAAUUUAACGGACUCAAAAAAUCAAAAUACACAAAAUUAAAUGAGAUUUUUUGUGAAUGUUGUCCUUUAUUUUGUGAUUUUCUAUUAUAUAUUAUUUUUUGAGAUUGUUGUAUUUAAUUUUUUACUGUAUUAAUAGUUAUUCGACUGUGAAUAAAAAAGAAUUAAAAUAUGAUAUUUAUGAAGAAUUAAAAUGUGUGACAGAAGAUUUAUCUGAAAAAAAUUAAGCAGAAUAGCCUUAGAUAGACACAAAAUUUCUUGAGCUCGCUGGUUCUCCAGACUCUAGUGGAGCAAACAUGGACCAGUACCUUCUCCAUUGAGAGAUUAACUCUGAUCUGUUUUAGCUUCUAUACCUCUUCUGUCGCCAUAAUUAUCCCUUGGUGGGCGGCUUUCAGAUGAAUCUUCUUGGGAUGCGACCUUGCAACGGUAAGUCCAUGUCCAUGGGAUGGGAUAUAUAUAUAUACACACAGUGUGUAUGUACAUGUGUAGUGUUUUGACAAAAGGGAGUGGUAUAUAAUAUAUCGUCAACCAUACAAUCACAAGGCGAGGCCAGUCGUCAUUGGUGCCAUAUCUGAUUGAAGCAAAUUGGAUAAGCCAUUCCAUGCAUGGAGUAAACUUUUUCAGAAAGCAACCGAUUUCCGGUUAUGCAGUAUGUACGCUAAUUACAUCUCAACUGUUAAAUGUGGUAACCGGAACGGAGAAACUGACGGAAGUUCCAAACUGGUGUUCUUCCAUGGCGCGCGACAAAUUAAUCAGAAUUUUUGGGCACCCCGUAAUUAUCCACAUUCAUGUUUUUGGCCCUUAAGGUGACACUCCCACAUCCUAUAUGGGUUAGGUUACAUGGCUGUUAUUCACAGACAAGACUUUAGAUUGAGCUCGACAAGUUUGGUUAAGUAUGGCCGGUAUCUGGCUUAAUUUCAUUGGAGAAUUGAGGCCAGAGCAGUCCCGUCAGGCGAUGUUAUGUUUCACGAGCAAGUAAGCCCGGCCAAUGAUUAAAUCGGCGGAUCACGAGAUUAGUUUCGCUACCUGACAUAAACGAUUUAAGUAACAUGAUGAUUGCUUGCUAAUUGCUAUGUAUGGUAUAUGACGCCUAUAGAAAAUGUACAUGCAUGUUCUUGCCACCUUCAUGUGUAUGCCCCAUUCAAAUUGAUUAAUGCCGCCAAACACAGGCGCCUUCAUAUCGGCGGCAUCUGUUAUAAUUUUCACAAAAAUAACAAGGGCGGAAUCUUUCUAUUUUAUGUUUUCUUAAUGAUUUUUAACCAUUAAAAUUUUGUAUCAUAUCAACUUGAGAAGGAAACAGGCUGAAGUGCGUUCUGGACAAAUUAGACAGCUCUUUCAAAUUGACUGUACUUUCUUUAAACGGAAGCAACACGACAUGUGCAUACAUGAAACGAACUGUGAUUUCUUUUCUAAUGGUACCACGUUUCAAUUGAGCCAGCAGCAAAUUUGCAAAUAAAGAUUUCUUUUUAGUUUAUUUUUUCUAAUAGAGACGCCAUUCUAGGGUUUGAAAGCCCAUCUGGAUUGUUAUUUUUACGAAUUUUUUUUAAAAAAAUAUUAUAACAAUUUGAUGUAUGCAAGAUUUUAAAAAAAUGAUUGAAAAAUAUGUUUACAGGAAACGAAAUUUUUUUUUUUUUUGUUUUUGUAAAAAAAAUUAGGGCAAAUUACAUUUUAACCCCUUGUGGUUUUCGCAAAAACCACAUAACCCCCCAUCGUUCAAAAAGCUAUACAUAAACCCCCUGUGAUUUGGGUUGAACUGGCAAAUAGACGAAAAGCACCCACCGUAACGAUUCGUAGGCAAAAUGUCCAAAUUACCCUAAUAUAAAUACAAAAAGGAAGCAGAUGAGUCAGAUUCUUCCUUGUUCUGUCUUUGUCGUGAGAAAAGGAGAGAAAAACAUGACCACCGAAUGAAGGAGAGAAAUUUAACCCACAAAGAUCUACCAUUGAAGACCAAAAAGUAGCUGUGAAAGAGCAUCACGAAAGCUGUUGUUGCAUCUGGUAAGUUUUUUGACAUCAUUUUAGCAUAUAAGAUGCACUUGCAUGGUUUUUGAACAGAAACUAGCGGGCAUUGGAAAGUUAAUAAAUCAGUGAUUAUUUUGCUUAAGCGUUGAUUAAUUUAAAAUUUUGCUGCUUUGGGACAAUCUGUAUUAUCAUAUUUAAGCAUAGAGUAUUUUAUCGACUAGAAUUGAAUUUAUGCAUUAAGAUUAGGGUAAAGAAAAUUGCAUUCGGGAGUUCUAAAAUCACCGGAAUUUCAACUAAACAUGGGUAGAAUACGACUUUGUUAGUUUGAGAUUUGUUGAUUAGUGUCAGAUUUGGGUCAAAUGUGGGUGGCUUGAUUUUCAAUAAUAUAGAGUGAUUUGGCUGCUGAUAAAGUUUUGACAAUUUGGACAUUGAAUAAUUUUUGCUUGUCGGCUUAUUGGCCGUCAUGUGGUCCAUGGAAGUAUGCGAUAUGCAAUAUGUCCUUUUCUUAAUCAGAUUGUAUUUUUUUGUAAUCAUGUGUUUUCAUUGAAGUGUGUAAUCUAUUAAAUGUCCUUUUCUUAAUCAGAUUGUGUUUUUUUUUCUUAUCAUGUGUUUCACUAUUUCUAAUGCAGGCUUUGAAAAAAAUGACAACUUCAAAAAGAAUUACUAUAAAAUUGCAUUUCGGUGGUAUAUUCAUAUGGGAACCAGAAACUGUCUAUACUGGUAACAAUGUAGCCAUAUUUAAAAAUUGUGAGACAAGAAAAUUAUCCAGGGAUAUGUUGUGUAAAUUGUAUAGUAGGUAUGGUGAUGCCUCGAAUGUGAACCUAUAUUUUGAAAUACCAAAUUGUGGGUUGUAUGUUGGAGCAGCUGAAAUUAAAGGAGAUAAAUAAAUAGAGUUAAUGUUAACUGCACAUGAAGGAGUAGAUGUUAUCAACAUAUAUGCUGAAUUGCGUGAUGAAAUGCCUAGUGAAAUUGCUUCAGUUGGAGUAAAAAGUCAUGGUAAAAGUGCCCCCACUGAUGCCCCACAUAGUGGAGCACAAAAUGUGGCAUCUGAUAAAGAUACCCCAAAAAAGUUAGCAAGCAAAAAGGGGAAACAGAUAGUCAAGAAGUCAGUGAGAAGACAGACCAAACUAACUGGAAACAAAAAGCACAGCAAAGCAGAGUCUAAUUCAGCAAAGGAAAAAGGUGAAAAAGCUGUAGAAAAGCAAGAUGAAGUUGAAAAACAGCCUGAAAAUGAAGAUGAGUACGGUGAUGCUACAUCUGAUAGUUUAGAAGAGCCUGAGUGGUUGAAAGAGGGAUUAGAAGGACCAGAAGAUGAGGAUAUUUUUGCAAACAGAGCAAAGGCUAAUGAAAUAGAAAAUCAGCAGCAGGCAAAAGGCACAGAUGAAGAACCAACAACAGCAAACCAGACAUAUAUAAUGGAGGAUCUGCAAACACCAGGCUCUUUUAAGAACAAAUUUGAAGAAUGGGAGAGUUCUAAAACUAAUGAAGAGUGGAAUGAAUUUGCUAUUGAUGAUGAAGAACUGCUUGACACUAUGUGGGGAGAUGAUGAAAGAAAUGGGAAAGGUAAUAGUUGUCGAGAUUUUAAUGCUGCAGUUGAAUUCAGAAAGUCAGAUUUUGAGUUGAAAGUUGGGGAUAAAUUUAAGAACUUACGGGCCUUUAGAGAAGCACUUGUGGAAUGGAAUGUCAGGGAAGGCUACACCAUGAAGUACAAAAAAAAUGAAAGAGCAAAAGUUAUUGCCAUGUGCAAAAAGGGUUGUUCUUGGAAAAUACGGGCAAGCCCAAUUCAAAAUGAAAGCACCUUUCAGAUCAAAUCAAUAAAGGGAGUGCAUGUGUGUGGAAGAGAAUACAGCAAUCAUCAUGCAAAUGCAAGAUAUUUGAGCAAAAAAUAUUUAGACAGGUUCAGAGAUGAACCAAGUUCUUCUAUUGAAGGAUUUGUCAAGACUGUGAGGAGAGAGAUUAUGGUGGACAUAAGCAUGAGACAGGCUUAUAGAGCUAAAAGAUUGGCAAGAGAGGCACUACAAGGGGAUGAUAUAAAACAGUAUAAUGUCAUCAGAGAUUAUGCUGCUACCUUGUUGAUCCGGAAUCCUGGUAGCCAUAUUGUCCUGCAAGUGACUAGACUGGAUGAGAACGAGGUUGGGAUAUUUGAAAGAAUGUACUGGAGUUUAAGUGCAAUGAAGAAUGGGUUUCUAGCUGGUUGUCGACGAAUAAUUGGAUUAGAUGGCUGUUUUUUAAAAAGUCCAUUUGGUGGACAACUUUUGACAGCUAUGGGUAGGGAUGGCAAUGAUAACAUGUUUCCCAUUGCAAUGGCUGUAGUGGAAGCCGAGAGAUAUGACUCAUGGAAAUGGUUUUUGAUGGUGUUGAAAAUUGAAGUUGGUGCUGAAAAUGGAGCUCCAUGGACAUUCAUAUCUGAUAGGCAAAAAGGAUUAGUCAGUGCAAUUGAUGAUGUGUUUCCUGAAUCAGAGCAUAGGUACUGCCUUCGUCAUAUAUAUCAAAAUUUCAAACAGAAGUUCAAGGGAAAGGAGUUGAAGGAGUACUUUUGGGCAGCUGCGUCUGCUGGGAACAUUCGUGACUUCAAGAUAGCAAUGGCUGAAUUGGAAAGGGCUGAUCCAAAGGUGGGAGAAGCUAUGAAUGCAGCUGGUUGGUUAAACAGGAUUCCUGCACAUUUAUGGUCCAGGUCACAUUCCAGCUCCUCAUGCAAGAGUGAUAUUCUUGUUAAUAAUUUGAAUAAGUCAUUUAAUUCCUACAUACUUCCAACAAGAGAGUUCACAAUCAUCUCCAUGUUUGAGUGGAUAAGAAGAAAACUCAUGCAGAGGCUAAAUGUGAAAAGGGAAGGCAUGCAACAGUAUGAAGGGAACCUUUGUCCAAACAUACAAGAACGACUUGAGAGGAACAAGCUAAAUAGUAGGUUCUGCAUAGCUCAUUAUUCUCGGGAUGCUGAGUAUGAAGUGGAUUGUGGGACUAGAGUAUAUGUUGUUGAUAUAAGUCGUAGAACAUGCACAUGUGGAUCAUGGCAACUAAGUGGGAUUCCAUGCUCACAUUCUAUUGCUGCCAUUCAAAGGGAUAAAUCAGAGCCUGAACACUAUGUUGAUCCUUGUUAUAGCAAAGAAGCAUACUUGAGCACCUAUAACUACACUAUAGCUGCAAUGCCCUCUGAAGACUAUUGGGAUUCAAAAGGAGCUGAAAAGGUGAAUCCCCCAAAGAUUAGAAAGCAACCUGGAAGACCCAAGAAAGUGAGAAGAAGAGAAGCUGAUGAAGUUAGAGGCACCACAUCUACAAGAAAAGGACUUGUUGUGCACUGUAAGAAGUGUUUUAGGCCAGGACAUAAUUCUAGGACUUGUAAAUUCCCAAUCCAUCCAAAGUCCAAGUUUUAUAAGGUAAGUAGUAGUUAAUUUGUAAUCAGUGUCAUAUGUACUUAAUUUGUUACCUUAUGUGUUACCAUUAAAAUAGGUGCCUGCUGGAGCUAGUGAUGCUGGAAAUGCAGGUGAAGAUGUUGUAAAUGCUGGAAAUACAAGUAUUGGAUCUGUCUCACAACAGGGUUCAGUGUCACAGGUACUAUUAAUGAUGAUGGUUAUUACUGCAAUUACUGCAUUUAACUGACUUAAACCUAUCUAUUUAUGCAGCCUUGUGAAACUUCUGCUGCUAAACCAGUUUUUGAAACUAGAAGACCAACUGAUGAACCUGUUGAACCUGUUUUGGACACUAGAAGACCAACUGAUGAACCUGUUGAACCUGUUUUGGAUACUACAAGAACUGCUUCUGCUGUUGAACCCAUUUUGGAUACUAGAAGAUCAACUAGAGUCAGAAAACUUGUACCAACAGUUGCAAGUGUGUUGGAAAAUUUGAGGGCUAAGAAAGCUAAACGUGUUUCUAGAAUGUGAGGACUAAGAGGGCUAAACGUGUUUGUAAUUCAAUUAAGUUAUUUGUCUGCAAAUGCUUUUUUUUAAUAUGUUGUUGCUACACUUUCUGUUGAAUCUUGGUGUCUACUGUUAAUAUGUUGUUGCUACACUUUUUGUUGAAUCUUGGUGUCUGCUGGACUUAAUGAUUAGCUACUUAUGUACCUUAUUUUGUUUUGUAAAAAUUGGUUAUGAACUUCUGGACAGCUAUAUUGUCAAAUGAAUCCAAAGUUCAGUGGUGUGAGCCCAUGUUAAGUAAGUCAUACGAAUUUGGUUCAAUGCUUGGUUCAAUGCUUCAGAAUUUGGUUCCAUGCUUGAGUCAUCUUGGAAAUUGACUUUUGAUGUGUGCUUUUUUGCUUUAGAACUUAGUCUGAACCUUUACUGCUCCUUAUUUGUCUAUACUUGAACUCUUGCCGCAUAGCUAUAAUGGUAGUUAAAUUAAGGGAUAAUUUCAGAGCAAUGUGGUACAUGUUUACAAGCAAGCAGGUUAAAAUCCCGCCUGCAUAAUAACACUGAAACCCGCAAGCGGGAUUCUGUGUUUUUUCUAUUUCAAGAUUAGCUCGCAUGCGGGUUAAUGUUAUAUUUGAGCGCGAGAAGAAAAAAUUGGUAAUUAGGCUCUUUGGGCAUUAUAAGUAAAUAUUUAAAUUAAUGGCAGUUUUAUUACACCAAUAUUAUUGUAUUAUCAUUAUUAUGAUUAUUGUAUUAUUUCUUAGGCAAAUAUAACAUUUAAUUAUUUAAAUUUGAUUUUAUUUUUACAAUUUAUAAAAUUUUUAUCACUUAUAUAAUAUUUUUAAAACCCUAAUACAUCUAAAUUUGAUUUUAUUUUUCAAAUUUAUAAGAUUUUUAUUUAAAAAAAUGGGAUACGGAUAAGAUAUCCGGUUGGUUCGAUUUGCAUAUGUGCAUAUGAGAAUAUUCGAAUACUUUUUAAACCCGCAUGCGGGUUUAAGGAGAUUAUGGCAACUCUCUGACACACUAGUUACCCGUCCAACUCUCAGGGGAGGUUUCUGAAAUUAUCCCUUAAAUUAAUUGAGAUACUUUCUUUUGCUUUAAACCAUUGCAAAUGUCCACUUUGGAUAGCUCAUGUAUGUGCUUUUUGGCUAUGCUAUCUCGAUGAGUACAAAGUUCAGCCUGUGAGUACCAAAGCAGGUUCAUACCAACUGGAAAUCAUGUUUGCCUAUUAUAUCAAUUGACUACCAAAGCAGAUUCAUUCAUUCAUUCAUUGAACACAACAGGUUCAGAUUUACAACACUUUUAGAGCCACAAUUCAUCUGAAUUAUUUUCACUUAAACAUCAAAAUGAGAAAUGAUAGCACAGAUAUAGCAAAACAAGCACCCACGCAAAUCUUCAUGGCUCCUAAGCUUUCUUCAAUGUUUUUCAUUUUCCUCAAAUAUAAACCACCAUCCAUGCGCAAGCCUUCCACUUCUGAACUAUCAAUACUUGAUUCUCCACUAAAUAUGUCUCUCCUUGUAACAUUCAAAUCACUAGUGUAAUUGUCUUAUUCUCCUUGUUGGAUUGCACCAUGAGAAAAAUUCCCAACUUCUUGUCGCACAAACAAAAUAUAGCUUUCCUUUUGAAGGUUUGUCAGAUUCAACAAUUUUUACCGCUGCUUUUCUCCCACAUGAACAAAAUAGGUAUUGGUACCUUAGAUUUUCAGUACUUCCACCAGCACUGCUUGAGCAUGACAUCUAUAGUUUAUUGAAAAAAAAUUAAUAAUCCAUUCAAGUCAUAUUUCAGGAAAAGUAAAAGACUGCACCUUGAUGUUAGAACUCACCUUCAGAUUUCCUUCGUUCUCUAUCUUGGGUUCCUUCACCAACAUUCAGUGCAAAGUCAGCUACAAAGUAUUCCGGAAGAUGGAAAGAGAUGAGGAGCACCCAUCUAGGCUUUAUUGGGUACGUCAAAUUGGUCAGGGGUAAUAUGGGUAUGUUUCCUACUGCUACCAGAAGAACAGGCGCGUUUUGCCCACGAAUCGUUACGGUGGAUGCUUUCCGUCUAUUUGCCAGUUCAACCCAAACCACAGGGGGUUUAUGUGUAGCUUUUUGAACGAUGGGGGGGUUAUGUGGUUUUUUCGAAAACCACAGGGGGCUAAAAUGUAAUUUGCCCAAAAAAUUACAAUCCAGAAAGGAGUUGUAACGAAUAAAACGUCCUCGCGGAAAGUGGAGAAUUAUUGACCGGAGGAGGAGCUAUAAGUCAUUGAAAGAGAGACCAAUUAAAUUAGCUUUGUUGUCAGUUUCUGUUGGAAGAAAAAUGAUAUUAGGGAUUAAUUACUGAGUUUGACUAGCUCAUGUCAUGAAUUGCUAAACAAUCAAUCGUCGGAUACCCAAGGGGAACAAUGCCAAGCAGUCUUCUUGCACAUCAAUGGGUUUGUUUGGAUAAGAAUUUAUUUGAAUGAUUUAUUUGAUUUAGUUAUUAUAAUAUUUUUUUUAUGAUGUGAUGUACGUGAAAUAAUAAUAUUAAUAGAAUAUAAAUAGCAACAAAAAAAAAUUAUGUUUUUUUAUGAUGUGACGUACGUAAAAUAAUAAUAUUAAUAGAACACAAAUAGCAAAGAAAGAGAAACACCACGCGGGAAUAAAUUUAACCCAUAAUGGCAAGACGCAUCCAUUAGGAUCAUCCUCCUCAUACUGACGUGGCGCAAUAAGAGUAAAAUAGUACUAUAUAAGCAUUAGAAUUGCGAGCUUAAAGAUUCCUAACACAUGUAACCAGGCCCACCCAUUAAAGUAUAAAAGGCAAUAUUUGCUCUUUCUCUUUAAUAAUACUUAGAAUAUGACAACGGCACACAAUUUAAUUGAUUUGACGCUUCAUCUAUAAUUAGUAGAUUAUGAAAUUUUUUUUUUUUAAAAUAUAUAUAUUGAAACAUACGAGUUAUUUUUUUUUUAUUUUGGGUUUCUUGUGGUUGAGCAACGAUUUGCAGACCGCAGUAUUUAAUUGUGACAGAUUUAAGACUUUAAUUUGAGCUUUCCAGUUUGUACGAGACUACUACAAAAACAAAAAUUCCACGUCGAUCGCAGGUAUCUGAAUUUGAUAUUGUUAUUUUUUUAGUGCCUUGAAAUCCUGAAGAUUUUGUCUCGCUUCAGUCUAGAUAGAAUUUGUAAUUACAUUUAUCGAGAUCCAAAAGGACGACCGAGACAGCAUAAAGCAUUUGUAAAUUGAUCAUCAAAAAGAAAAACAAGAAAAUUUAUCCAUGCUCAGUCGUCUUUAAUUCCCGAGAAUGCACGGGCGCAAUAUAGGCUUUGGAAUUGGACGGCACGGUGAGUUAGGAAAGUGACAAAAGUAAUCUGUUUACUUAGAGGCCAGAAUAAAAUUACUCCGUGUUUUUUUUUCCCCCUGUUUGCUUCCUGGGAGCAACUCCAAUGGCCGUGUAAUUAUGAACUUUACAAUGAUGCUGGUGAAAAAGAGGAGAUAGUGAGUCCCUUUGUGCAACGGAUAAAUUUGGUUAAACAUAGGUAACGGUGAAAAUUUUAUGGUGCAAGUUUACGUUCAAAUUUUUUUUUUCAGCGGUCAUUUUUUUAUUUUCUCUAUAUAAACAUACAAGACACCUUUUUUUUUUUCUUUUUUUCCUAUUUCACUAUCUUACUUUAUUAUUUCACUUAAUCUCUCACUAAUUUUUCUCAACCUCUUUGCACAAUUUUCUAAAAUUUCAAUAUUUUGUAAUUAUGGAUGAUAACUUUAGUAGUUUUUGAAACAUGUUAAAUGUUCCAAAUAUAGAAAAUUCAUCAUCCUCACAAAAUCAAAACCACCAAAUUACCCAAAUUUCAGAAAAUAACAAUUUAUUACUUUUUGAGAGACAGAAAAAGAUAUAUUGUUCAAACUCAGAAAUUAAUACUAAUAUUUUUUAGAAAAUAACAAAAUUAUUUUUAAAAAAUUACUUUAUUCAUUGACAGGAUAUAAGUUGUAUAUUGUUAAAAUAAAUAUUUGAUUUAAUUAUGAACUCGUACUAUUAUACUAUAUGGAGUGUAAUUUAUUAUGAAUGAAAGUAUAAUUAAAAAAAAAGAGUGAUAAUGAAAUACCAACGUAGAUGCCCCAAGAAUCCAUGCUUACGUAGGACAAAGAAACUGGCUCCUGCUGAUUGAUACACGUCGCACCGUCAAUUACCCAAAUGAACAGUAAAAAAAGGAAUAUAUUAUAUAUGUACGUUGAUCAACCAAGAGAGAAAAGCGACACUCAAGACAUGAUUGUCUUUCCCACUAACUCCUCCUCUAUCUUAAUCAUCCAUGAUGGAUGUCUCAACUUUACGGAGUGUUCUUAACCAUAGAUUUUUCUUCUGAACGAGGUCAUGUUUUAUCUUUUGAGUCGCUAUUACUACCGUGAUACAGCUACAUUCGGAGGAUGGAAAGAUUCGUUCUUUUUAGUUUAGUUUCUUAUAAAGCAUGAAUCGCAAUGGUUGCUAAUGGUUUUAAGGAAAAUGAAAAGGAAGAUAUAUACACGAACGAGUUAUUCUUAACCACUCAAAGUUCAUUAGCAAAAUUUAUAAUCUCAGUUUACAGUUUAUUUUAGAGCAAAUUAUCCAGGUAAUUAAUUAAAUUUUAUGAAUAGUCAAAUUUGCCUAUUCAGCUAUUAAUAGUAUAUUUUUAUUCACUAAAUCAUUAACAGUGUAAAUUUUCGGAUCAUUCCGUCUAAUUUUAAAUCUAAUUAUUAAUAAUAUGUCUCAUGAGUCGUACGAACCCUUAGAUCUGGUAGAGAAUUUAUAAUAAAAUCAAAUGAAGUGAUCCAAAAUUCACACUUUUAAUACUUUAGUAGGUAAAAAUAUACUAUUAAUAAUUGAAUGACUAAAUCUUAACUGUUAAAAAAGUUUAGUGCCUACCUCAAUAAUUUGCUUGUUUAUUUUAAUGUAUUUUUUUGUUGGUGUGAACUCUCAUAUCCUAGAAUGGCAUUGCAUCGAUUAAUCACGCUCUUACUAGCGAGAAAAAAAAAAAAAAAAAAGUAAGAGGAGACAAGUGGUAAUAUUUUCUUCCAUCUUAUUCAGCAGUCGGAAAAGAAACGGAAAAUGCUUUCCAAGUGCAUUAAAAAACUUUUUUUUCCCAAGAUUACUUCAGCUUACUAGCCUUUUUUUCGACAAUGGGGAGCAAAAUUUUUAUAAUUGUGGCAUCUCUUGGCAUAUUCCAUUAUCCUUUCUAUUAUUGCAUAAAGAAAUCCCAAUUAUUGGUUUUUAAUUUUUCUUUCCACAUCACAACUCACAAUUAAUCUGUAGGUAUUAUUCCAUUUCCUAAGCACCAUACCAUAAGAUGAAUUACUACCUGGAAAUAUGAUUGGUCGAAUGUGCUUAACGGUAGGCCAGCUGAGAGAUCCACUGUUUGCUUACCGUUUCCAGAAGAAAAGGUUUUUUUUUUCUGGUUAAUCAAGAUUAGAAUGCGAUCAAAUACAAAGGAUUUACAACUAAAUCAUAUUACAAUUAACUCCCAAAUAAUGGUUAAACGCUAAUCUACAAGUCGACUGGAAGAGAAGGGCACCUCGACUCAUUACCGUUAAUUUUUUAUGCAAUGCAAUUGCAAUUGGUGCAAUUGGUGCUGCUGUAGUUUCUCCAAGUUCUAAUGGUAUAUUAAAUUAUCAAACGCAGAACAUAUAAAUAUAAUGAAAUUUUUACCAAAAUCAUUUAUGGAACAAAAACAAUCGCACAAUUAUAUGAAAACCGGAGCCCCGCACUUGCUCCAACCCGCUCCCCGUUCUAAGGUUUUAUGGAAGAGGAGUGAAUCUUCUAGCCACAUAUAUUCAACAUAACGUUAUGGGAUACGUCAAUCUUUCAUAACGGCUGGUCUGCCAUAUCUACGAAAGAUAGUAGCAAGUACUGGUACUAAAUGGCAUCCAUCCUAUAAGGUAUCUAAAAAAACGCACCCUGUCCCGCACUAAAGAUCGAUCACUACUAAAAACGGCAGCGUAUGUCCCACACGAUGAUAACCACCAGCCCGGCCACCACCUAAGUGGGUGGGAUGGGAGGCAAGGGUCACCGAAAAAUGCCACGUCUAAGUGGUUUGUUUCUAUCCAUCUAGUCCGGUGAUGGUUUAAUCCCCUUCGGAUUAUUCCUGGAUCUCUUUAGGUCCGCCCCCUCUCCCUUGGUGUAGAAUAGAAUAGGUUUAUCGUCUCUGAAAAAACAAAAAAAGUAUGUCCCACGAUGAUAAAAUUGAAGCAGGAGACCAAUCCAAAAUAAUCAACCUUCGCAAAAUGGAGUAACUGUUGCAGGAUAACAAACUGACAUCACUUCUGAAUUGAAAGCGUACAUGAAAGCAGCACGCUUCUUUCAUAGUAGGCGGAAGUGUCGCGCUAUUUAUGAUGAGGGGAGCGAUCACGUGGCAUUAUUAUCACGUAAAGGCGGGGGGAGGGGGGGGGGGCGGUUAUCAAAUCAUAAGCUACCAGAAGAAGUAUAUAAGAAAUCUUCUUUGUUUAUUGUAUAUAGUGAUGAUAUGCAUCAGAACCGAUCAUUGCAUAAAAAAUGCAUUCAUUCUUCGACCUACCACUUUCCCAGAAAUCUAUUGGCUAAUGUAAUAAUCACUUGUGUUAAACAAUACAUGAGGGGCUACUGACCAUCCACAGAAGCAAACACCAAAACUGGAGUUUAAAGAGGCCGGCAAAUGACGCAACAUUCAACGAGAGGACAAAGUAGGUUUCAGGUAGAAGAUGUCGAUCCAAAGCAUCUGCUCAGCCGAAACAGACGCAUGAACAUUAUUCAUUCAACUAUUGACUUCACGUCAUCUCUAUUGUAGUUCAUUUUUUUUUUAAAAGCGUGACUAUCAGUACGAAAGAAUUCAUUAGCAUAUAAUGUGAGAGAAGUUCAGGAUGAGACAAAUGAGUGUAUCAACAUCGGAUCCUCCUCUACCAUCCAAGAAAUCAGAUAAGAUAUGCCGUUCCACAUCCACAAUCCAAAUGCCUCAACACUUUUAAUAUUUAAUACAUCUACUGAUUGGCACCCUCUAUAAACAGUUAUGAAAUCAUGAAGCUCUAAAUAUAGAAAAUUAGGUGUAUGAGUGGUCGUGACUCGUAAACCCUAACUUCAUGACACCAUUUUUCAAAGGAAGAUCGUAUGAUGGACGUUUCAGAUCCUACGGCACCCAAAUAUUUCCACCAAGUUCAAAGUCUCUGGCUAAUUUGUGUCUUCAAACAUGCUAUAGUUCCUAAAAUCAUCAUGACAGAUCUGAAAAGUAACCACUUAAGUACAGCAACAAACUUAAAUAUGUCAUCAACGAAAUGAAAAUCACACCACGAUCUACAUCCUUAUCCAUCCUAAUGGAAGACAAAAAAAAUCAUAAACAAAGCUUUCAGUUCGUUUGUACCUGUGAAUUUUGAUGAAUGAAUUCCUUGAAAACAGAUACUCUUACUCCUGGUGAAUCAUGCUUUACUGAAAAAGAAAGAAACAACCACCAAGAAGAAAGAUCCGUAUCUUCUUGGACAGAUAUGAACAAAACAUAGUAGUAAUAGACACACACUGGUAAAGUGAAAUAUUCACAGGUAAGUAGGAUGUCUGUAAGAGCAAACUACAUAAAUAAAUUUUUUUUUUUUUAAAGGAAACUUCAUAUGCUGGGCAUGUUUUCUAAUCCAUUAUGUAAAUCAUUAAGUCUUGUGGUUAGCUCACAAAACCUCUUUGAAACAAGCAAGACAAGUUUUUCUGCUGUGAAAAUUGCUCUUUUGUUUUAACCAAAGGCUUUUCUUUAGAAGUUAGUGAUCAGAAAUAUGAUUCUCUCGAAAGUUCUCAUCAAAUGCUCUAAGACAAGACAUAGAAAGACACAUGCUGAAGUGCAAAAUAAGCAGGCAACUUUAGUUAUUCAUUUAUUUGCGUUGCAUCGCGUGCAAUAAUAUCUUCUAUCUAUGAUUUAUCAUCAACAGCAGUCCCAUUUUCUGACUCCAACAAACAUGUCCUCAAGGGAGAAAUAUUUGUAAGUUAUUUUUUACAGGUUUGAAAGAUAGGACAUAAUUUUCAAAUCAUCUGAUUACAGGACAUGGGUUUUUGACCUGAAAAACUUUCUUCCAAUCAACAGUUAAUAAUUAUACACACAUCAUGCCUUCAACGGUUGUUUCAAGCUUAGUUUUAAUUGUUCAUUUAGUCCGAAUUAACUGGAAGUAUAAUGUAGAACUCAUGAAGCAAAGUUUUAUAUCAGAGCAACACUAAAUGGAGUCGCAGACUACAUUGCUUUAGUUCCACUAUUAUGUGCAACACUAACUGCUCAAUUUUAGCUUUUAAAUAUUGGUUGAAAGGGGAUUCUAAUCUAUGGAACGAGCCUAACAAUGAACAAAAGCUACAAUUUAGACAAGGAAAUAUCUUAAAAUUUUAAAAUUAUGGAGAAUCAUCGAAAAACAGUUGACAAAGAAAUCUGUAUGUACCUUGAUAAUCAUAAAGACAGUGUAUUUUCACCAAAGUCUACUCAUCCACCUCUAGCCACAUAUACUUAAUAAAAGAACGUUAGAUGCCUGUAUCAUAUAGAGUACCUCUGAAGAUAACUUAAGGGCUAUAUAUUUCCAAGAGUCAAGAAACAAUCUCUAAUAUUUAUCCAGGCUAGCAAGAGAACACAUGCACUUUUGGCAAAGUCUUUCCAACUGGCAGACAAGGCACUUCUCAAAGGUACUUCAGAAUUACUAUAAGAUUAAAAACUUGUAGAAUUUCAAAAGGUCCAAAAAAGAUGCUUCCCAUAUUGGAUCAUUAAAAAAUCUCUACACUUUACAGUUCAAGAGGUGAAACGCCAACCAAGGAGUUAAUUAAGCUCAAAGCACAAGUACACUAGAUCCAUAAACCUUUCAUGUGCAGACAACGACAGUUUUUUUAACACUCAAUCAAGUACUUCAGAAAGUGGACACAAGUACUUACAAAAAUAUGUUUAUAUGUCUGUUUGCGUAUUAAAUAAGUAUAUAAAUACAUGACAUUGCUUCUUAUGCUUCCAAUUUUCAAAGAAUGACAGGUGGUAGUAAUUUUGACUUGGCAACUGUAUUUCAUAGGUGGACAAAGAUGUCCCUAUUUAGGAAUGGAUGAUGCUUCAAUCAAAGACAACUACCCAUAAUGUGAACUAGAGUAUAUUUCUCUGCCUUGACACAAAAAUUGAUGCUUCAAUAAGAUUCUUUAGACCUAACUGAAACAAUCAAGAUCUCUAAUGAAACCAACAAAAAUAGUCUUUCUAAAACAAUUGAAACGGUUCUCUGCAGUGUAGCGGCUAGUCACGAAAAGAGAGCAGUAUAGACCAAAGUGAGGAUAAGUAUAAGCUACAUGUAAUGAACCAAGAAACAAAGAAAUGGGCAAGGCCUUGUGUUUGCUAUUCAGAAAAUGCAGAUUAGUGCACAAAUCGGAAACCAAAACACACGUGAGGCCAGGCCAACCAUAUGUCUAGAUAAUCUUCAUUGAUAGUCAUCUAUUAAAUGCAAGUUGAUAUAUAAUUUUCCUCAAACAAAAUGAGCUAUAACUCAGACACGAAAAUUCUUACCUGCCAAGGAAAGAGAAAAUAAAGGUUGGUUUGAACCAAGUAAACAAGAAAAAAUAUUGCAUGUUGCAAACAACUUGCACAGGGAAAGAGCUAGACCUGCCUCGUGAAAAAUCAAAGGGUUUCUUGCCUUAGUGUACCUUGCUUCCUUGACAAACACAAUUACACCAAGGAAAGAACUAAAGAAGAGAUGAAACAAAGUGAAAAGGAUGAGAUUAUAUUCAAGAUCAUGUGGGCAACAAUAAAGUAGAGUACAGAAUUAUGGUAAAACGCAAUAUGAAUAGAGUGUACCUCAAUCAAGCUUGCUUUAUAUCAGAAUAUUGUACUAGAAACAGCAUCAGUUUCUGUGUGCAUGAAGUAAUGAGAACUAUUAGCAAGCAUAAAUAAUGAUAUUAAUCUCUACAAUUGGAGUAUCAUUCUGCAGUCUUCUGGAAGCUCAAUAUGACAAAACAAAGAGUUUAACAUAAGAAAAUGCCAAAACAAUAUAACAAGGUUUGCUACUUAAUAUGCCCAUCCCCUGCCAGAAUAUGCUUUUGAAUUGCGGUAUCUAGUUUAAGGUAAUUAACAACGUAAUAGAACAAUAGACAGUGAAUCUUGCUUCUUCAUUUCUUAGCUAAGUAAGCACAUAAUAAAGCUAAAAAAAAAACAACUUAGAAGGACUUCAAGAUUUUAAUAGUUAAGUUGCAAGAUAAGCUAAAAUGCACAAACUAGUUGCUGUAUUCUUAAAGAUAAGAAAAUGCAAUCCUCGACACACUGCAUACAAGAAAUGUGAACGAUUGAUAACUUAUGGCAGUGGCAUGUACGCUAAUUACUGACUUCAAAACUUUUAAGCUUUUGAUCCUCACUAACAAGCUAUGAAGUGUAAUCAAGAAAAACGUAGUUUUCAAUAAGAUUUCAGGCAUUGACCCUUAACAUGAAAUGUCCAGUAUUUAAGGGCACUCAUGUUCCCCUAAACAUUCAAAACUUACAGAAAAGUGCAAUUUUGCUUCUUAGAUUUACAGCCAAUAAAUAAAGACAAAAACAAAAUGGUUAUCCACACAUUCAAAUAGCAAGAAUCCAAAAUACAAAAGCAUAGAGACACAUAAAUCCACCUGAACAAGCACAAAAAAUUGGAAAGAAAGGAAAAACUAACAGUAUGACUCUCCAUGGGGGCAGCUGCAUAGGCGUCAUUGCCAUAUUUCUCCUUAAUUCAGUACAAAAUGUGAAUAAACUAAACUCCAAUGGAAACAUUAAAAUAGCAAAUUAAUUAUUCUACGCUUGAGAUAAAUCUAAAUACAAUAAAUCUGAAUUAAAAUAGCCCAUUUAAGAUAAAUCUGAAUUGUAGCUCAGAUAGAUCGUAAUUGCUGUUUCAAACCCUUUCAAUGAAGAAAUACAAUUUUUCAUGGAUAGUUUUUAGUGUACCAGGUAUAUAUCGAAAGCUUGAAAACAGAAUUAGCAAAAGAGACUCCAACAUUUGUAAAUGAUGCAUUCUUUUUUUAUUUUUUGGCCAGGAAAAUAAAACUCGUUUUAUUUAUGAAUAUAAGAAAACAUAUCUAACAAUUAGAAUUUACCACUCAGUAAUAAAAAAGCUACAAUAGCUAAAACACAGGCUAUUCCAGGAAAUCAGAUCUAACUAUACAAAUUCUGCAGACAAAUUUAACAAAUCUCUCUCAUUAAUCAAAUAAUUCCAGCUCAACAACUUCAGAUGCCAUUUUCAAAUUGUUUAUACAUACGUAUAAAAGAUAAAAACAAAUAAACUAAGAAAAAACACAGUAAAACUAAUACACCAGGACGUUGUACACACAAAAAAAAAAAAAAAAAACCCCCCGAAGAUCGCGGUUUCCUGAGUACUUUGAAUAAAAUGUUUAAUACUUGAAAGAAAGAUAUCAGAAUACAUUUAGCCCAUUAAUGUGUACAAAAUAUAAUGACUAAUAUCAAGAAUUAUAGGAAUGAUUGAGUGCGGAAUACUUAGUAGUACGAGCAUGGGCAGAAUAUUUUGAGUGCAGAAUUAUGACGGCAACAGCGUUCAAGAAUACUUUGUAAUCGAGAAGAAGUUGACAAUAAUGCUGGUUUAACAUUAAUGGUGAUGAAAAUUGAAAACCAAACCUUGCCCUUGACUCCUUGUCUCUUCGGAAACCAAUCUGUUCCUCUCCCAGUCCCACUGCAAGCGAAUGAAGCAGAGAGUGGCGCUUCUUUCAAGUUGUUCUGCUUCUGCGAAAUAAAACAGUAGACACGCACGAGUGGCAAGUACGUUUUCGGCCUUCGGGGUCCACCAAGGCAAUGUCCGUCCGUGCUUUGUGUUUCAGGAAGAGAAAACACAAACAAAUAAGUAAUAAAUAAAACAAAUUAUUUUGUGUUUUUUUUUUUUUUGCUUUUAACAAAUGAAGUAUAAUGGUUUAAUUCUUUGUGUAUCUUGACAAUUGCAAGCUCGGAUGUAUACACGUAAUCUUGAUCCAUAAUCAGAUUUUUUUUUUGGAUAAAUUGGGUUUUAAAAUUGGACAGAGAAUGUAAUUGAAAGGUUUUAAAAUUCAAUUCCAACCACUUAUACUUAAAAAAAAAAAAAAGGCCAUUUGGAUUUAAAAAAAAAAAAAUCCUUUAGGUUCAUUGUUUAAACUUACUCCAUAGAUAGAUAGAUGAUAUCAAAAUAUUAAGUGAGAGCUUCAGCUUAUGACACGUAAGUCCAAUGUCUAGUUCGUUUUUUUUAUUGUACUUUUUUUUCUGGAUGGAAAAAUAUAAAAAAUUGCAAGAUUUUUUUUUUCCUGUGCCUUUUAAAUCUUUUCCCAUUUGAAAUAGCCUAAGAAACUACAUAAUAUUUACCGGUAAGUCUUGGUUUGAGAUGUCAACAUCGACUACUGGGAAGGAGAAACAAAAAACAAAAAACAAAAAACAAAAAAAAAGUCUUUGCUUUAACACACAUUUUUAAAGGGGUAAUUAAAAUUUUAAUCCCCUAACUAUUGAUUCAAUUCCAAUCUGAUUUCUUAUAUACUUGAGAGAACAUAAAAUUUCCCCCGCCUUAUAAAUUAUUUAUUCCUCUUCGCUACCUACAAAUAUCCUAGUUUGUAUUCAAAUGUCAUGAAUAUUGUUUGUUUGGGAUUUUUUUUUUUGUUUCGUAAUUUUAUUCCUGUGGUUUUUUUUUUUAAAAAAAAAAAAUCUGUCAAAUUAAUUGAUCUCGAGUUACUGCCAUAUGAUUGGUUAUUGGGCCUUUCGAGUCCUUCACUGAAAGUUGGUGUUAACUUGACAACAGGCCUGGCACCAAAUGGGGCUGUUAAACUAACCAGUUGACGGGCCUCUUUCUUUUGGAAUACUUGAAUGUUCCUUCAUUUAGUACACCUGGAAACCAUUAACUAUUAAAAAAAAUUUUAAAAAUCAGACUUACGAGAGAUAUUUGGACAGCUGAUUAUUUUCCCAAAUAUAUUUGCUUACAUCAUCAUUACAAUUUUCAAUACAUCUUUUGAUCUUCCCAAUUACCUUUUUAUCUCACAUACAUCACAUCACAAAAAAUGUUACAGUAAAAAUAUCUCAAAUAACUUACAAUCCAAACAAACCAAGUGUGUGCCGUUAACCGCUUGUGUUCGAGACUUUGAUUUUUAUUCAUAUAGUUUCCUUGUCCUUUAUAGUUGGGUUAUUAUCACUUUAUCCCUUUGAACUAUAUCAUUAUUAUCAAUUUACCUCCUAAUAUUAUAUUUUAGUCACACUACUAUCAGUUUUACCCCUUAAUGUUAUAUUUUGUGACAGUCACACCAACUUUGUCACUACUAUCAAUUUAUUCCCUAAUGUUAUAUUUUAAUCACAUCAAACGUUAAGUGAUAAUAACCCUUUAUAGUUUUAUUGUGAUUGCAAAUUUGAGUGAUUUAUAUAGUUUUUUUUUUAAAAUUAAUCUUCAUUACAUUGACAAUGUAUAUAUUGUCGUGUUCAAAUGAAUGCCGCAUAUAUUGAUUUGAAUUUCAAAUCUAAAUUUUACUUAUGUGAUAUUCAUCUAACUAUGAUAGUGUAUGCAUUGUCAGUAUACAUAAAAUUUACUUUCUUUUUUUUUAAGAAAAAAAUAUGUACUCGUUAUCACCUAAUCCCACUCCCACCAGCAUAUAUAGGAACAUGAAAAGCAAGAUAUAAGUGCUCCAUUAGGCAUUAAAAAAAAAAAAAAAAAAGAUAGACAGCAGGCCACUCUUUCUGAAGUUGGGAGAGUAAAAUCGUAGUAUGAAAUAUGCUCCACGUAAUAAUUUGGGCAAGUUUUGUGCAAUUUUGGUUUUCUACGUGUUCUUUGGGUUUCUCGGUUUGAUCAGUUGUAGCUUGAGCACGACUCUCAACAACAAUAAACAAUUUUUACAAGCCACUGCAAGGACACGUACAUUUUUUUGUAAGCACGAUGACACAUAUAAAAUCCAAAUGAAAUUUUUUGUUCUCUCCUUAUUUAUUGCAUUAAAUUGAUCGUCCAAGAAUAUGCAGACCAACAAAUUUUCAGUGCUAGAAAAAGAUACAAUUUCCAAAAUUAGAAAAGAAGUGGUAACUAGUGACCCAAAAAGAAAAAGAAACGAAGGAAAAAAGUCACACCACGACAUUUCAUGACUAAUACUAAUGACUAAAAAGUGGUAGCUAGCAAAUUUGCUGAAGAGUAGGUUUCAAAGCCAUAGAUACAGCAUGCCACCCUGCCUGUGUUGGGUGCACCCCAUCCCAGAAGAAUGCAGACUUUGCAUCGUUGCACACCGUGUACAUUUUCCUUCCUUUAUCGUCCACGCUUCCACACGAAUAUGCAGUGCUUAGUCCCAUACAACAAGGCUUCAGAGGAGUUUCAAACUUCAAAGUUCCUGCAGUAAUCGACAAGCAGCAGCAUGACUUGAAGAAUCAAUUAAUUGCUACAUCUCAUCAGAUGAACAUUUGAGUAAAAAUGAAGUUGUGAGAUUACCUGAUACAUCUCCUUUGUUCUCUAGUAAGGUUGUGAAGGUGGUAUAAAGAUCAAGAACGUGGCACGCAGAAUCCCUACUCUCGUUAUUCAAUUUCGACACAGCUUGGUUCAAUAGUAGAUUGUGAAAAUUGACGGCUGUGUUCUGCGUGACGUUGCAUUGUUGGAAUGACGAGAGAACUGUGCUUCGAGGGAGACAGCCAAGGGGCUCCAAAGCUGCCACAGCUAUCCUCCUGGCUCCCAAUCCAUGAAGGCGUUUCAAGUUCACGGCAAGCUGGGAAAUCAAGCUUGUAGUGAAGGCAGGCAAACCCUGUACGUUUAAGGGAAGAUACAUUAGUUCAAACACUAAAUUAUUGUCCUACCACUCGAUCAAAUUGGAAAGUAAGAAUCAGAACUACAAGCCAGGGACAAUUCCUUUACGCGAGUUCGUGUUUCCUGAAACUCCAUUCUAACUUUUUAUAUUAUGUGAAGGAAAGUGGAGUAUGAAAACAGUAGUAUUAAGAGUUCUCAUUCUAACUGACUGCCAACUUUUGGACGACAAGUCCCUUAAAUUAAAUAAUACUACAACUAGGGUAACAUGGUGAGAGAUGAAAUGAAAUAUACAAUAGAAACAAUUUACCCUCCCGUAGUUUUAUGUUCUUUCUUUCUAUUUUGUAUGUUUUUUUGCCUUGUAAUGUACUCCAGAAAACCUCAAUGAAUUUAAAAGAGAUGGAUACUCAAUAAAGUAGGCAGAUGGUAAGUUCACCUUUGCAGUGCCACCUUUGGCAUUGUAAGCACCAUAAUCAUUGCCAGCAACAGUGACCAGAAACAAAGAUGAGUCCAAGUCAGUUUUGUUAUAAACUAAAUCCUUGAGAAGUUUCUCAAAGAAAUCAAUCUGAGUGGUCAUGUUAGGCUCCAAAACCAGAGUGUCAAAGACGCCAGUCCCUCCAUAAGCAAAGUUCACUCCAUACCGCAACCGGUUUCCUGCAUACUUGAUCCAUCUAUACGCUACUGGGGACUUCAUUCCGUAGAAUUUAGCUGUUCACAUCAAUUUCGUUUACAAGAAAGGUCAAUUUGCCUGUCAUGCAAAUUUAUCCUAAUCUAGUUAUGCUAAGAGGAAGUGAAAAUAACAUGCACAGUCAGUUCCUUCUUUUACUUUCCCCUUCGUUUGAUAGUAGUAAUUAAAUAUAGGAGAAAUGGUAUUUAUACACCGCUUUAGUUUUUUCAUUCCACAUCUUUAGAGUAAAAGUAGUUUGCUAAGAAUAAAAAAAGUGAAAAUGGUGUUCAAGAUUAAAAAAAAAGGCAGCGCAAAUAUCAUUUCCCUAAAUCUUUACUAGCUUAUGAUUGAACCACCACUAGAAUCGCAAGUAAAGCAUUACAUAUUUCACUUGGUGCAUGACACCAUUACUUGAAGUUCAUUUAGAUAUCAGUGCCAAAGUUAGGGUACCGCGCUAACAAACUAGAUGUCUUUUAUCUCUUAGUCGUUACGCUAUGUAAGUUGGGUUUGGCUAACGUUAAAAUAGCUUUAAGUGUUAAUUUUUUAGGUAAGAAUGAAAUUAAUUAGAAAAAUAUCUAAAUGUAAGGAAGCAAUAAUUAUGAAUGUGUGUAUUCAUAUAGUAAAUUAAAUGCGAUCCAGACGUUUUAACAAACGUUCCGAAAACACAAUUUGAAAAACAAAUGUUGUGCAAAAUGAUAUUACACCGCAAGCAAGCAUGGAAAGGGAUGAAGGUUUGGAUUUUAUAGCGAAAGGAGGAUUCGGACAAUCAUGCAAGUGGGAAAAGGCUAAUCAAGAUUAGGACAGAUUUGGACGAGUCAUUGAAGCACUAAAAUUGGUUAGUGUUAUUUUAUGAGCAUAAGCAUCCUAGGUGUCUCCCUUCCUAGCUAGCUCCCUAACAACAACAAAAAAAUUAUAUCCACAACAAAUGAAAAUGCGCCAAACACGACUAGACGGGCAGCUAAACCUGCCAGAUUUUAACGAGAAAGAGAGAAAAAAGAAAAUCAUGGCCAUAAUGGAUUUUUUUUCCCCUUAUCUUUAAAAGUAAUAAGAUCAUGUGAGAAAGUAAAGGUGAGAUAGUGAGAUAAAGAAAGAUGGGAGAUACUAAGCUGACAAAAGGGAAAAGACAGGAGUCAACAAUGCAAUAUUUACAGACACAAAAGAAGAAAACAUUAGACAAUCUGAUAACCUCUAGUUCAAUAAUGAAGGAAAGCAAGAUAGGGACGGGGGAGGGGGGGCAGGGCUGACUGCUGAGGGCAUCACCAGUCAGUUGUCACAACCAACCCACUAUGGUGAUCAUUUAGUAGUACAAAGGUGAUGCAAAAAGUAAGCUUGCAGUUGUUUAUGCUCCAAAAAAGAGAAAGCGAAAGAUAAAGUGCGGCAGAAUGAUGACAGAGCCCAUUCCAGACCAUGCUAUGGUACAACUGUAAAAUACUCCAUGAUAAUAGUAAUUCUCGAGCCAGGCAAAGGAAACAUAAACCAUGUGCACUUGAGCGGUAAAAAGAGAAAGAGAAAAGGCAGAAGCUGAAGCGUUACCAACGUAAUCAGUAAGGACACGACCAUCCGAGAAGCGGCCAGCGGGCUUCCCUGGAAAAGUGAUUCCAUAUGGUUCCUUCCACGAACUUCCUACAGACUUUUGAACAUUUCCAGUGUCGGCGUACGAGUCUCCGAACACAAAUAGCUUUGUGGGUCGGAAACCAUAUCGCUGCUUCUUGUGGUGGUGGUGACGGCGAUCAUGAUGAGGUGAUGAAGCAUGGACACCGGCAUUCCCUGAGGAAGAAAGAAAAAAAAGGUGGUGUUCAUCCAUGCUAGCUCGUAAAAUUACAGAGAGAAAAUUCAAACACCUGCAUUAAUCAUCAUUUCUCAGGCCUAGUUACAUCGUGUAAAAUUAACAUGGCACGGAAAGCAUGCAUGGAGAGCAUGAGAUGAUGAGUAUAUUACUAGUACAAGUUCAUUGUUGUCCAUUAAUUAUCAAGAAGGCUGCUACUAGUGGGAUUUUGGAUACAGCAAAGAGCUGACACUAAAUUGGAGAUUCUAAAGCUAUUUAUUGCAAAUUAACCGAGGAUAUGAUAUGGGGAGAGGGAAAUAUGAUAGUACUAUAAUCGUAUUUUGUACCACGUACCUGCUGCAAGAAUUGAGAAAAGGAAGAAAAAAGAGCAGAGGAGCAACUUCGGGAGGUCCAUCCUCAGAUUCAGAAAGAUUGAAUAGGCGGUCCUCAUAACGCAAGGGGCGACAGGGGUACGCUUAGUUUAGAGAUGGGAAUUGGAAUAAAUCGCAAUUGGAAGUUUGAACUGCGAUUGUGCUUUCGGGUCCUUUAAAUAAUACUGAUGAAAUGGAGAAACACACCACGCGAGAAGAGGAGAAUGAGCCAGCAAUGAGGGAGUGAAGAUUUGAACAACUCUCAUGGUCAAUAUGGCCCGAUAUUGGGGUCCACUGCAGUGUCUUGUCAAUUUUAUUUUAUGUUUUUUUGUUGUGUUCUUCGUUUUUUUUCACCCCGAUUCUGUACUGGGAAAAUGGACCACGGUGCAGAUUUGACCUAUAGCUUGUUGGGUAGAAAUCUUUGCCGUCCGGUGAAUGAUACUAACGUAAUGGUGAAUUGAAGUCGGGAAAAUGCUUGGAAAAUAACUUCUCUAUUCUCCUUUUAAAAAAUUUUUGUUUUGAACGGAUAACUUGUCUGUUCAAGUAACAACAACAUUUUGGGUCAACCUUCUCCAAUUAGUCUACAUCUGGAAGGUGUUUUCGCUUUUUUUAAUGUUGUUUGCGUGCAUGUGAUUUUGCUUCUGUUCAGACUAUUAAAGAGGUAGUCGGAACGUGUAAGAAUGUAGAAUGUGAGAAGAGGUCAGAAAUUUUUUUGCUGCAGGUGCCGUAUACUGCUGAUAAAAUCAGGCGUCUUCUGUAUUAUACCUUCAAGAAUACCAGUUGAGGCCAACAAUAUUCUAUUCCAGAGGAGGAGACGAUGACCAAAGGACUAGGAAAGGUUCAAAGUAGAAGAAGAGGUGAAAAUUUAAAUAAAUUAAAAAAAAAGGGAUGGCCAUCAGACUCUUUGAUUGAUUUUGCCUUUGACCCAAAGGAAGAAAGACAAAAUAGAAACAAUCAGCACAUUUUUUUUUUUUCGGUUUUUUUGGUCGGAGGCCAAGAGCGUGAAUUAUUAGUCGAGUAAUUGUUUUUGGGUUGUAAUGUUAAGGCGGUUAAUGAUGCGUUUGAUCAAACUAAAAUUUGAAAAUUGAAGUCUGAAAUUUGAAUCAUUAAAUUGUUGAAUUCUUAAGUAAUAAAUUUGAUACAUUUAAUUGUAUAUGAUAUUAAUUGAUAUAUAAAUAGUUUAUCAUUCAUUUUUUGGAAGCAAAUUUUAUUUACAAAAUUCAGUGCCACUUAAUUAAUUCAAAUGCUUAAUUUUGAGUUAUCAAACGCAUCUAAACAACCUAUUAAGAUAUGAAUUCAUGGACCCAUUAAAUUUAAUUGCUAAAUGGGAUUAUCAAACAUGACCUAAGAGGGAAGAAAAAUGGAGAAGAUUCAGUGGCCCAAUGCAAUUAAACAAUUAAGUAAGACAGGUCUCCAAUCCGAGUCAAAUGCAGGGGGCGAGCUGCCUGGAGAAACAACACUUCCUUCAAUAAUAAUAUUUCAGAAAGUGUUACUAAUAAUCAAUUCCGAACGUAUUUCUGGUAAUUUACAGCGAAACGAUGGAGGAGGCCUCUAAUCCAAAAGCCUGAAAUGGCACCCUUCGAAAGUUUAAAUCUCCUGUUUUUAUUGGCAAGCUUCAACACAUAACCACUUGUACGGUUUUAAGUAAAUCUGCUAUAUUUUGGUGUGAAGACAGUCGUAUGUAAAAACACGUGGUUGUUUCUUUAAGGCCUUGUUUGCUAAAAAAAGGUUUUGGCUCAGUUUGUCUGUUAUAAAUUUUUUAACAAUUAUAAUUACAGUAAUCUCAAAAAAUUUCUCAAAAAUUUUAAACUUUACACUUCAAAAUAUCCAAAAAAAUUUUCUACAACUUCUACAUUAAGUUACAGUAAAAUUUUAGACAAAUAUCUAAAAAGCUCGCUUAUCAGACGAGGCUAAAUUUGUUUCAUAAUAAUUGACUCUUCUCCCUAUUACUCGUUCCAAAUUCGUACCUUUGUGCGCGCGCGCGUGCACGCGUAAAUGGGUAGUACAUGCCCAUCCCAUCAUGGCAGAACCAAUUUUAUGCUACUGACGACAUAAAAAAAGAAAAAAAAAUAUAUCCAUCUUAAUUGUGCAUAAGAAAGAAUAAGAAAUUAUUUAAAAGUAUUUUUUUAUUUUGGGUGAUAAAUUCAAGAAGAACAACAAAUGUUAAGUCUUUGCAUGCAUGUGAGAAAUUUUAUGCGUUAAAAGGCGCUCGUCUGGAAGCACAUACCGGCGUACUAAUGAAAUUCUAAAUGAUCCCAACUGCGAAUUGUAAGCUGAGAAGCAGGGGCAAAGAUGCAGAGGCUUAUUUGUUAGGGCUUUAAAGAAGGUAGUGUAUGCCCAGUUCUUAGUUUUAGGCCCACUCCAUCACUGGCGAAUAUUUUGCCACUUUGGACACAUUGGGCCCAACAGAGAGAGCGAGAGAUGGUCUGGGCUCGCGGCACCUAACUUUGAGUUCGAUUUUCAAACCCUCAUCCUACCUUUUAAGCAGAUUGGGUGUGGAUUGUAGAAGAAACAACUUACCAUGUUGACAAGUAAUACUAGAUUGUUAAGAAUACAAGUAGACGUCACCUAAUUGUGCGGCAUAUAAGCUUGACCUUCCGCUUAUUAAUUGAUGCGCGUAUAAUUCAUCGAAACAUUUAUAUAGUUUUCCCUUCUUAAAUGUUGUUGUUGGACGAAGUUCGUACUCAUUUUUCGUAGCCAUUUUGUUGACAAUAUUAAUGAACUCAAGCCAGUUGUUACUUAUAAUGGCUCCAUACUUUGUAUUCGAGCGGAAAAAAUUUUUUUUUUUUCUCCCACAUUAGCUUUCUUGUUUUUGUUUUACCCUGAGAAGCAGGAAUUUUCAUGAUAAACUAAAUUUGUUCUUGACUACGAUUUCCCUUAUGUUCCAACAAAGGAGCGUUUAACUUAAAAUAAAUAUUGCAACAAGGGGAAGAAAAAAACCAGUUUAAAAACAAGUGCAUAUAACAGUUGAAAUCAAUCUGAGUCUGUCACUCCAUUCCCCCCCCCCCCCUUCUUUUAUAGUGUAAGUAGGUGAAAGAAGAGCUCGUUACUCUGUCUCACUAUGUCUAUUGAUCCUUCGUUUUACUGCAAAAGCUUGAUGGACAAUACCGUAAAACACAGUACAAGUUUGAACCUAUUCCCGAGAAAUUAUGGCUUCCCGCGAGAAAGAAGCAGAAAGUUGAAAAUGAUGAAAUAGUAACAUCCAAUUGCAUAUUUCAUCAUAGAAACUAGCAAGACAAGCUGCCACAGGCCGUGGUUCACGCACAAUCAAAAUAAUGUAUUGCCUGAAAAAGAAAAACAGAGGAGGGAGGGCCAUGGGGCUAUCGGCAUUGAACCUCGACAUCCGGUUCAACAAAACAGAAGAGCAACAAGCAUACGAGCUUAAGAAUAAAUUAAAAGGAGAAACAUCUACAUAUUUGUGAAAGGGGUGAUCUUGAUGACUAACCCAGGGAAAACAUCAUCUGGAUCAUGAAUAUGGGGAUUCUGCUCAACGAUGUAAGGAUCCCCACAUUUUUCACUGAUGGUAUGCAGAGUCUCUCCUUCGCGUACCACAUAAAUCUCAUCACACGGCUGUUCAAGUAGUAAUGAGGAUAAUAUUUGCUGCUUCUGCUGUUGCACUUCAAACUGCUCCUCAGUUGAUUCACAGCAGCUUAACACCAACAUUAAAGCCAGGAACAAGGCACAGUACCAGGACACAGUCUCUGCUAGAGCUGUCGAUGGAUGGAUGCGGCCUGACAUGUUAUGCUUUAAAUUCAACUCUUCCUCGAAUUCGCAGCGACGAUUGUUCCCUCUCUCUCUCUCUCUAUAGCAAGUAUGUGCAUGCACAUGUACCGAAAAAUUGUCUCGAGUGGAGGAGAGUAUUUGCAGGACUCUUAGUAUUGAGGAUUAGGAGGAGUUAAUGUUGUUGUUGCGAAGUAAGCUAAAGAGAUGAUGAUGUUUGAUUUGACAUGGUGGUCGUUUUGGAGUACAAGUGCAGGUCAUUGGAGUGGUUAAGCAGCAGUGUUCCUGCUGGAGGGAGAGGAUUGAGACGGGUUCGUUUCUUGGGGGGUGGUAGGUAACUGUCUCAAGUGAAGAAAUAUUGGAACAUAUAAAAUGAGGGAGGGAAAGUUGGUUUAACUGCUUUAUUAAAUGGUAGUGAAGACUUGAGAUAUCUCUUGAUCAUAGCUGAUAAAGCAAUCAUUCAACAUUUUUUACUUGCUCUCAAGUCUCAAGUCUCAACCAACCUUUUUUUAGGUUUGUUUCCGUGGCUGGUACUACAUAUGGAGCAGUAGUAUAUGCCCCAAUCUUUACUCCUAUACUAUAAGGCUAUAACCCAUUUGCUUUGAAUGUCAAUUGUGGGCAUAUUUCGAUGGAGUUGUAAAGAAGGAUGAAGAGCCAUUCAACGCAUUACCUGCAACAAUUAGCCAUACCUUCUGUGUUUACAGAUAUCAGUAAACUGUUUAUAUCAGAUUCUUUGUGUGCGCACAGGAAAUACUAUUAAAACUGUCAAAUACUUAUGUAAUUAAGGAACGUAAAACAUUUUUUUUUUGUUGGAUUAAUCUUAAAUACACUAUCACCAUUAGAUAUAUGACACAUGCGCAAAAUUUGAAUUUGAAAUUUAAAAUUUAUUCAAGUGUCAUCCAUCCAACCAUGAUAGUAUAUACACUGACAGUGUAUAUAAAAUUUGCUUUUUUUUUUUUUUUUUAUGGAGGAAGAACCACACGGGUGCAUGACUUGCAAAACCGGUUUCUUGAUAAUUAUGAGAAGGAGGACUGAUCAGGAUUGGAUGCCAAAAGAGUGAAGGAAAUGUUGCCCCUAAUUUCAACUUUUUGUUGCUGGAAUUACAAGUUAGAAAAUUGGAGGAGUCAAGUCAUAAUAUACUCAUUAGUAGAGAAUAGAGGGGUGUGUGUGUGUGUGUGUGUGAGAGAGAGAGAGAGAGAGAGAGAGAGAGAGAGAUAAGAGUCCUUUAACGAUGCGUUUUGGUAGCAUGCCAGCUUAGUUAGUAUAGUGAGAUGGGAGUAGUAUUUGGUCAUUCGCAGGUCAAUAAUCAAUUUUCAGUUUCACCCAACAAAAGCAGUGAGCAGGUGAUUGGGUUUUUCUUUGGUUGGAGGGGGGUUUUGGGGGGGGAGUCCUGAAUUUGACGUUUAUGAAUCAGAAUUGAGGUGUGGGGGACAAUGCUCGUCCUCCUUUAAACGCCAAGAAUUGGUCAUCAAGUCUAAUAGAGUAUUUAAGUACUGCUCUGGCAACGGAAUACCUAAAUCGCGCAGUAUUAUUAUGCCGCUAAUAAUACGCUAAUGUCACAUUUGACACAGACAAAGGUGUUUUAUCACACUCCAAACAUUGGAGCAUUUUUUUUUUUUUUUUUUAUGUUUGGUAAUUAAAGAAGGUUAUUUUAUAGUAGUAACAACAACGGAGCCGCAUUAUAUGGUUGACUUUUCAAUUCACAGCUUUUUUCUGUGAUGGCGAACCUUUGGCUUGAUGAUGAUGAAGAUGCGACUGCAGAACGACUGCUGGAUGCUGAGCAGGAAUUCUUUGAUUAAUCCAAUAUUGUCAUUUGCCAAAUUGUCACACUCAAAUCUAUCUUGUGAGAGACCGCUGGUUUAACUUCAGAAUUCAUAUUCGGAUUUUGACAUACCAACGGAUAUUCCAAAAUCUCGCUUCGUAUUUAAUAAUUCAAUUUAGUACUUAAAUUUAAUGAAUUUAAAUCUUAAUAUGUUACAUUGAACUAAAAAAAUUAAAAUAUUUAAAUUAAUUAGAUCACACUGAAUAUUCUAAAUAAAACUUGUAUCAAAAUAUAAGUAAUAAACUCUUCGCUAAUGAUAUACAUUGAAAUGUAUCGAAUUUAGUAUUUAUCAAAUUAAUAACUUAAUAAACUCAAUUUUUAAAUUUUAAAUUUUAAUUUUACCAAAUGCACCCUAACUCUAAUGCAUAUAUACUAAGUUGGUAUUUAACUCGAAGCACACUUUACACAACUCCGUUGAAUCCAUCAUAAAUAUAUUUUUUAAUCAUAUUUAUACCCCACACGCGUCACAUAAAUUGCUAUAGUAUUACUCUAGAUACUUUUUUCCAAUAACCCCCUAUCUAGCCCCAUUUUUGGUGUUGUCGCAUACCAAUGUGAAUGAUUAUAGACCAUUAAGUCUGGUUUCCCAUUUUCCUUUUACUUUCAAAGUAUUUUAAUUUCUCAUCCUCCAAAAUUUCUUGAAUUUUGCACACAUGUUAAAUUUAAUCCUCCUCCCUAGUAACUUAAUUAUGCCACAAGUAGUACAUCUCAACAGGAAUGGGAAAAAAAAAUUAAAAAAAAACCAUCCAUUUCAAGUGCCACCAAUCCGCAAUUGCAUAGUAUUUUAAGUUAACAUAUUCCGGAUAAAUUAUCCUUUAUUACGUCAUCAAAUGAACAUGUAUCAGGUGUAAAUAAAUCAAAGAUAAUGAGCAGCAUAAGUCCACCAUUGCCCUAUCUUCAACAGAGAAGUACCCAAUUGCCGCAGAGAGAGGCAGCGAUUAACCAUCCAUAAUGGAGUUUCAUGACCGGUCCAAAGGCAAUGUUUAUGGUCAAGGUUUCAUCAAGCUUUUCAUGACAUAGUUUAGCACUUCAUCCGCAUCAACAGUCCAUGCUACAGAAAUAGGUGAAUGGCCUGUCCAUGGGUUGCUUGAAUUCCAUCUGUAUCAGAGUAUUGAAGUUAAUUAAACAAGAACCUACGACCCAAAAAAAAAAAAAAAAGCACCUGAGAAGUGCAAAGCAAGCAAGGUAAAGCUUACUUUUUCAGCCCUUGGUCCAUCAGGGUAUGCCCCGCGCUGAUACCCUGUGUCUCAACCCUCACAACCCCCUUCUUGUAUGUGAAGAGAUCAGGCCGGACUAGAGCUACAAAACUGACAGGGUCGUGAAGAAAAAUUCCUGCGCAGGCCGGUAUUAACCAUUAAUAUGUGAACCAUCAAAAAGAGAAGAUCUAAAAAGAAUUUGAAAAUAAGGCAGGUCAAUGACAAAUUGAAACUAGCGUUGCAAGCAGCCAAAUUACCAUAGACACCGUCAGAUUUGACAUGCCAGUCACGGUAGAAUUUGCAAAUGUCACACACAAAUUGAGCAUGUUUUCCAUGAGAUUGUCUUAGUUCAUCAAAGGCAGCAUCUGAAGUUCACAAGACAACAAUUAUGAGAGAGUAACUUCCAAUGAAAAGAUUCCGGUGGGAAAAUAGGCAAGUGGUAAAUAGAAAGGGAAGAAAAACCUGUCAUUUUGACUUGUGUUGUGAUAUUUAUGCCAACAACAUCAACAUUUGCCCCAGAAGUAAACACAACAUCUGCUGCUUCAGGAUCACAAUAAAUCUGCCAGUCAAAAGCUUGAACACAUUAUUUGACUGACUGGAAAUUGAAAGACUGCCAAUGCAAGUAUAGAUACUUCGCCAGGGUAUUCAGAUACUUUAUCAACCAAAAAUUCAGAUGCACUUUUCUCAAUCUUCUUAGAUUUUGGAGGAGGUAAAAAUAUGUUGCCAAGUCCAUCUGAACCAUGAACAAAGUCUGCGAUGCAUGGUUCCCCCCCCUAAAGGAAAGAGCAUAAGCAGGAUGUAUCAAAUACACCACUCAAGCUGAAAACUGAACAAGCAUACUUAACACUGAAUAAUUUUUUUCUAGUUGACAGCGAAUGUUAUUCUAUUAGCCAAGUAGCCGUCAAUAAUUUUUGAGUUAUCAUAAUCAACUAUAGAUCACUGACUAUGCUCACAAGAAAAAAACCAAACAGUUAAUUGACCCAAAUGACACAAAGUGGUUACCUUGAGAGGUCCAGGGCUACCCUCUGCUACAGGCACACCUGGAUAUCCUGCAAUCUCACACUAUCCUUUUGCACAUUAAAAACAGAACUUGAUCAUGUACACAAUCCAAAAACAGGAAAGAUUGCAAAUUUUGGGAGCAUAAAUAACCAUGCAGAAGAGGAACUAAAGUACAGAUAUAACAUACCAAAAGCAAUGCAUUGCGAGUAGCACCUUCAGUAGUUACAUUACCAUAUAUUGUUGUCAAUCCUAAUAUAUCCAAGUCAGGUGAUUGGAAUGCCAUUAAUAUAGCCAUGCUAUCAUCUGCACAUCAGCAAAACUCACACUUCAAUCUCAAGUUCGAAAGAUCAGAACAGCCAGAGAUGUGGGAAUAUAGGGGCUUAUUUACGUGUUUGCACAAGCUAAACAAAACGUGAUCUAACUGUGUAAAACUAAUCACCUAAAUCUCAUUGAUAAUAUAUUUUGCUGGAUUGUCCGUUGAACCUAACAUAAGUCCAUCUAAUAAUUCCAAAAUAAGUACAUGAAUAAGGAUCAACAGUCUUUAAAAAGAAUCUCGAAACCUCUAAUUACCCCCAAGCCCCCAAUCCCUCCCCCCCCCCCCCCCACUAAAACACCAAAAAAAAAAAAAAAAAGAAGAAGAAGAAGAAACCAGGAAUAUUGUAACUUGAGCAAAAGACGAAUAUAUUAUCAUCAGUAAUGCUUAUUUCAAUUCCACUAUUACGAAAGAUUGGAGUACAGAAGAAAAUGCACUCAAAGACUAAAUUUUUCUUUAGAUUUCCAAUAUCAAAAUUUACUUCCCAUUUUUUUUAAAAAAAAAUUUCUCUCCCACUUUACAAAAUACACGAUGUUUAUAUAAUAUAUCUAUGUGCGAUUGGAGGAGGUAUAAAAGGCAAGACAAAAUAUAUAGAUUUUAGUCCAUAUGUUUUUUCACUACAAAGGGAACUUUUCUCCCGUUGAGGUAGAAUUUGGAAAAGAAAAUGCCAAAAAUUAGAAAUAGCACGCCGAAGGAUGGAAUAACAGACAUAGAUGAUAGAACCACAAGAAUAUAGAAAGCCAUAGCAUUUUCCCUGAUUCAAAAGUACGUAACUUUUUCGAUCAAACUUUGCUGUCAUAAUACUAUAUUCCAGAACCAGGCCCACUGUAGCCACCAAAAAUGAAAGAAACGCACAAACUCAGAGGAAGAUACCGCAUUAUAAAUCAAAAAGUUGCAGUAAAUCGAAUCAACUUUCCAAGACUAAUUGAGCUGGGCUCAAUCUGAAACUGAUAUUAGUAUUAUACUCAGACAACGAAACACAAAAGCAAGGAAAUCCUGAAACUCAUGAGUUAGUAAUUAGUACAAGAAAGGCUGACCAAUGCCAGGAUCGGUGUCAAUGAUGAGCUUGUGACGCUUCAUGGCACCAGAAUUGGCAAAAUCUUCGGCCAACGCAUCAGCCAUCACCAACCCAUUAGCGCACCCACCAUUAACCACACGUGAAUUGGACAUCCCUUUCACAGUACAGUUGAUUGCAAUCUUUCCGGUAGUAGUAAUACAAAACUGGUAGAUGAGAGUGUGAAAGCAGAAUUGAGCAGGGAGGGGGCUUGGAGUGCGGGCCUUAGGCACACACUUAAUUGGAGACUUAUAGGAAAACAAAGACGCAGCCGCUGGGGACCAAAUUCAUAGUAAUUAACAAACAAAGAGAAAACAAAACCAAGUACUAGUUGUCUAGUACAAACAACUCUUUGUUUGAGACUAGACAACUAGUGGUGAAAGAAAGAUGGAGGAAGAGUUGUGUAGGAAUUGGGUGAGGAAGAUGCCGAGAAGGUAUGGAAAUGCCCUCUUUCCUAAACUGUUUUUGGGUUUCCUAAUUUUUUGUUUAAAACGCCAUCGCGCACCACGCCUCCUUGUUUUGUGUUUUCCUAAUGCUUGUGUUUGGAAUGGCAGCGACAGAUAAACCAAAAACAAAAUUAAAUAAAUAUACUUAGUUGGACCUAAUUUAUCAAUCGUGAUUAAACUAAAAUUAAAGAUUGGACCAUACCCUGGUCCACUUUAUUUGUUUAGCAAAGGAGGAUAAAGACGAACUAAGAUUAACCACAUAGUCUACAGACUGUCACAUUUCUAGGCAAGCGUAACGUGGAUUGACAUUUGGCAGAGCCCUCGAAUUGCGAACAUUCAACUCACUUAGUGAUAGUCGAUUUGUUAGUAGAAUAUGCUUACUUCCUUGUUAAGCAUAUCGAUUAAUAUGCGGAUUAAUUGGGAUAGUUUUUUGUUUUUUUUUUUUAAAAAGUUUGAGUGGGUUUCGAGAUCUGGACAUGACUCUGAAAUUAUAGAAUGCUUACAUAGAUUUUUAAUCGUUCACCAACAUAAUUCUCACAUUGACAACACAAAAAAGUAAGCCGUCCUUAACAACUACACUAUCGUAUAUUGGUGAAUUAAUUGGGACGGGGUGUGUGUAUCAUGUUAUCCUUAGUUGCCACUAAUAUUGCUUGGAUACCUGAAAAGAAACUUUUCGCCUAAUUUUUUUCCCUUUUUUUAACUACACCAAAAAAUGGAAUUGUCAAUAAGGUCGAGUUAAUUCAAGUGCGACCCGUAAAAAAGACCAAUAAGCCAUGUGUUUAAGAGGAUCGGGCAGAGUUUAGCCUUAAAUAAUAGAUCUGAAUAAAAUGUGAAUCAAGUUUAUGACUCAUUAGACUCAAACCUAAUUAAGGCCUGGCCAGUUCAUUUCUGUGUCUCUAUAUAUAUAAAAUUGCAUACUAAAUUAUAUAUAUAAUAUAUGUAGUUAUACAGAUUAUAAUAUUAAUAAUUUAUAUACAAUUCUAUAAUAAUUUAUAAAUAUUAAUAUAUUAUGUAUAAUUAUAUAAUUAAUUAUGAACUUGAGUCGAACACUGUAUGAGCCCAAAACUCAUAUUAAAUAACGAAUCGAGACUGAAACUUCUAAUCUAGGUUCAAACCCGAAAGCCUAUUUUUUGAGUCAAGCUCGGGCUUGCCAAAUUCUAGCUCAUAAUGUCUAAUUGACACCCCUACCCAAAAAGUUAGGAGGUUUGUGUAAGCAUACGCAAUUGGAGGAGGAGGGGCAUAGUUACUACUUAAUUAGCAUGUGGUUUUCUUAAUUCGUCCAAGUUGUUUGUUUAGUUUAGCCGAAUAAAAGAUGUCUGGAGGCUGGAAUUCAUAAUUCAUAAUCCUAAUGACCAAAAAUGCUCCCCCAAGGGCUCAUCUUAGUCUUCAGUUGUUUUUCACCAUUAAUAAUAAAUCCAGUCAUCUUAUCUAAACUACGUGAUCCCAUUGUAUUUGAUAAUUAGACAGUACAAUUGACACGCCUCCCCCUGCCCCACACAAUAAUUGCUAAUUAAUUAAACACGAAAUGCAGUGCCGAGUAUUCCUCGUGGGCUGACUCGGCUCCACGUUAGGACCAUGGACGCUAUUUAAACACGUUUUCCGUCCAUCCACCGACUAAAUUUCUACUUGAAUUGUAUGUUGAGGGAUUGAAUUUCACCUGGGCCUGUUAGAAAGUAUCUCUUCGAUCUAAUCAGAUUUAUAAACUUGUUAGUCUCUUAUAUAACUUUUUUAGACUCUCUUUUCUUGUAAAAUAGAAUAUGAUAGAUUAGGUUCUAAUCUCUUAUAUAAUCCCUUUGCAGUUUCCUUCUUAUAAAAUACGAUAGAAUAAUUUAGGUUAUAAAAAUCUUAUCAUCGUUAUAAAAAAGAAAAACAUCUUCACACCCAUUUUUUUUUAAAAAAAAUAUUUUUGGGAUAAAUGAGAGGUGUAGGAUGCAAAACUUCUUUCUCACCGACAUGAAAGGACGUAUAUGACGGAAUUACUCAAGUGCCCCAGCCGUCUCGAAAUUUCCCCGAUAGCAAAUGCAUGAAAAACCUCAAAUUUCGGGGCAUUCACAUAGACUACUUUCACGUCAUGUUUCUUGAAUUAACUGAGCAAAAUUAGUUUAUAUAAUGCGAAUUAAUUUUUCCUGCACUUGCGCGAUAUAAUCGCAGGCUGUAGUCUGUAUCUACGCUGUUUCACCUGUUCCUUUCCUGUUGAUAAACAAACAUGUAAAAAAAAAAAAAAAAAGCCAAUUAAACAAGAGGAAUAGGCAGGGGCGGAGCCAAAAAAAAUUCUUAAUGAGGGCAAAAGCAACACUAAAAUUUUUUACCUACUAUUUUUCUAGUUUUUUAAGCAAAAAAAAAAAAAUUCACCAACAAGUACAAAUGAUGCAUAUAUUCCAUGAAAAACAUAAAAAGACAAAUUCAAAAUUAUUAAUGUAAUAAUAAUUUUAUUUCAAAAACAAACUAAACUAUUUAUAAUUGCUUACUGCGAGUUUUUAUAUUUUGAUAACUAAUUUGGUUGUGAAAUGUAGUGGCUCUCGAUUGUGGGGGGAAAAUGGGGGACUGGAGGAGGGAAGGGAAAUUGGUGAGUAGGGCCCAAAGAAAGUGAAUGAUAUGAUUGGAUGAAUUGAUCAAGAGAAAGAGUUAGCUAGCUGCUUAGUUUGUGGAGUAGUGUCUCUCGAUUUGUGUGGGAAAAAUGGGGGGAACCGAGGAGGGGAAGGCGAAAUGGGAGUGGGAUCGAAAAAAAAGUGAAUGAUAUGAUUGCGUACUUACUAGUUAAAAUGAAAAGGCUUUUUUUAGCUUAUUUCAAAUGGAAUUUUGUGCCCACGUAUCUUUUUAGAAUUUUAGUUUAUGAAUUAACUUAAAAAAUCGCGUAAUUCUUUCACAUCCUUUCUAAAAAAAACUCCAGGGUAUACUUAAAAUUAUAUUAAAAUUGUAUUAAUAUUAUAGGAAUUUAAGGAGACAGGGGGCGUGCCCCAGUACCCCGCCUUAAAUCCCGGCCCCUGGGAACAGGUUCAUAAUCCUUGCAAGAAAAAAUACAAGCAUCUUCAGCCCAUCAUUCCUUCUAGAAGCACAUAUGCCAAUCUUUCUGGAGGAGAGCCACGUUAAGAUUGAAAAAAUUUAAAUGUUUCGCCUUCACUUGUUAGAAUAAAUAGCAUCCAGAACUACUCAAAUACGUUGGUCUGAGAGAGGAGCUAAUUCUAUCUAGGCAAACAUUAAACCUAAAAUGCCCGCUAAAAUGCAUGGCAGACCGGAGUCAAAUUACAAUUUUCCGAAAAUCCCUAGCAGGAUCUUCAAGUUUAAUGAUAAACAAGCUAUGAAAAAUCCCUUUUGCUUUUUCCGCCCUCAUCUUGUCCACAAAUUCCUGUUAGUAUCAGGCCCCUUCAUCAAGAUCACGCUCUUCAAAAUGGUCCUGCAGUCAUUGAAGAAUAAAGAACCUGUAAGACAAAGUACAGUGUGCUUAAAACUAUACAAUUCCUCGAGGAACUUAAAAGAGCAAAGUUUGUGCCAGAAUCCCGGCUAAUUGCUUAGAUUAUAGGUAAAAAAAAAAAACAUCCGUCAAAUGCACCUCUGACACGGAUCGUUCUUGUUCUAUACGUGCCGUACUGAUUCAGCACGGCCCCAAAAUAAAUUUCGCAGAAGUCAGAAAAAUGUCAGCCUGUGCAGGUUUGUGUCAGUCCAGACCGUGUUAACUGUGCACGGCCCGGAAUGACGAAAGACUGACAGAUACUGCUUUUGUCAGUCCGGGCCGUACACAUUCAGCACGGCUCCUUUGAAAAAAAUUAAGCACGGGAUUUCUCCUUGCCAUUUCCAAUUUGGCUCGCAGCAGAGGACUACAUAUGCCAAUAAUGCAAAGUAAAGAAAUGAUAAACUAAUGGGGCCCUGAUUGGAGUUAAUUGUGAAGCCGUUUAGAAUUCCUAGUCUUCGACUGCUCAUGACACAAAUGGGAUCGUGGUGCUAGCUACAGACAAUUGUACGGUCUAUCAAUAUUUUGUCAACUUUGAAAUUAUUUUUUGAAUUUGAAUGUUGACCGAAUAUGCAUUGUUGAUAUUUCAACACAAUUUUAUGUAUUAUUGAAAAUUAUAUAUUAUGUAUUAUACAAAUAUUUAUAUAAUGAAAUGUACAAUAAAUAUUACAAAUUGAAAUAUUAUAUAAACACCAUAUUUAUAAUAUUACAAUAUUUAUAAUUAAUAUUAAUGUAUAUUAUAUAUAUUAAAUAUUUAUUUAUUUAUUUAUACAUAUUAUAAAUAUUUUAUUUUAUUUAAAAAAUAUUUUUAUAUAUUUAUAAUAUAUUUAUAUAAAUAUUAUAUAUUAUAUAAAUUAUAUUAAUAUACAUAAUAUUAAUUUUACAUUUAUACAUAAUAUUAAUACAUUUUUGCAUUUAUAUUAAUUAUAUUAAUACAUUUACACAUAAUAUUAAUAUAUAUUAAUUUAUACAUUUAUAUAAUAUUCAUUUAUAAAUUAUGCAUUUAUAAUAAUAUACACUUAUACAUUUAAAAAUAUAUUUAUAUUAUGUAUUAUAUAUAAUAUAAUACAUUUAUAUAUUUCAUAUAAAUAUAUAAAUACAUUUAUUUAUAAAUAUUUAUAAAUGUAUUAUAAAUACAAUAUUUAAAUGUAUAAGUGUAUAUUAUUAUAAAUGCAUAAUUUAUAAAGAUAAUAGAAUCCCAAGACUUGAUUUUUCUUUUGGCACUUGAGGUGUCAUUAAGCAUUAGCCCUAUAAAUAUUUUGCUUAACCAACAAAAACAUCCCCCUUCCCAAGAAAGAACGAGGAGCGAGGAAACUUACAAGAUUCCACAAAGGAUCACUCCUACGGCAUUCUCACCUGCUACAAGACCAAUGGUUUAAAUUUUUUUCAAAGGAGCCGUGCUGAAUGUGCACGGCCCAGACUGACAAAAGCAGUAUCUGUCAGUCUUUAGUCAUUCCGGGCCGUGCACAGUCAGCGCGGCCCGGACUGACACAAGCCUGCACAGACUGACAUUUUUCUGACUUCUGCGAAAUUUAUUUUGGGCCGCGCUGAGUCAGCACGGCACGUAUAGAACAAGAACGAUCCCGUGUCAGAGGUGCAUUUGGCGGAUGUUUUUUUUUUUUACCUAUAAUCUAAGCAAUUAGCCCAGAAUCCCACUCCUUCAUUGUGAUUUUUUGAAGACAAAAUCAACUAAAACACCGGGUGCACAAAGUUGCCUUGGGCUUCAACUGCUAGAACAAACCUCUGCACAUAAAUCAAAAUGAACCAGGGUGGAACCGACAGAAUAUAAAUUGCUUGUGCAAAAGACAAAUGCGCAACGAAACACAGGAUAGCCAAUCCUUCCCCUUCAGGGCAUAAUCCCAGUUGAUUUAAUCAUUGCAUUUAGCACCUUUAAGUUGCACUAAGGUGCUCUUAUUUGAUUUUUGCAUUUGCUUUCACAGCUUCUUUUCAGCUGUAACAAACGAAUUUUAGAAGCAACACCUAGUGGUCAUUUAGAAAAACAAAAUUUAGUUAUCCAAACUCUCAACUUUUUAAAAAGACUUUUUUAAAAAAGGAAUAAUAAAUUGCAAGAGGUUAAGCAAACAAGUACAGAAGCUCAGUAAGAAGUUGGAUGUAAGCAUUAGAGUUCUGUCGCUUGAGGUAGCAGAAAUGCAAGCUUAAAGUAACGAUUCAUCUUCUUGGUAAUGAAUUAAGUGAACAAUGCCCAUGUAGAUUUGAUAACGAAGCUCAAAAAUGAUAUGCAUCUAUCAGAACAUUGUGCACAUGCACUUCAAAUGCAAAAUGUUCUCACAAUUGUCUUUUUUUCUGCUACAUGAUACAGUGGUUUGACAUGGUUAAACUUAGAAUAAAACUCAUCAAGCUCUGUUCCACUAACUCUGGAUAUCUAAUAGCACCAUACAUAGAUACAACGGGUGGAAAUGAGGGGAUGCUAAUAUUGAUAAAGAAG
rnacentral:lncRNA from 1 species